rnacentral:lncRNA from 1 species
CUCUAGGAGGUAGCACCCCUCUAAGCCUUAUGAAGGUCUCUACUAACUAAAUUAAGGGAAGUGUGGCAAUAAAUCGAUUGAUCAUAGAUACCUAAGUAGACUAGGUGAUUUUAAAGUGUGGCAUGUCAAACACAAUCAAAUUGCAAUAAAGGAGAGUUAGGGCGCGUACCUGAACCGCUUCUCAAGCGCUAUCAUAAAACAUCAAUGGUUAAUUUAAAUAAUAUAUCAUCCAGCAUGUAUUUUAUUAGAAAUAAUCAAACAAUGAAACAUGUAUAUCAGAACACUCAAGCAUUAUUAGACAUAAGCAUUAUUUCACUAUUCACAGAAUUCAGAAAGUAGGUGAUAGAGGACAUACCUGGAUAGCAUAGAUAAUUUGUAAUGUGCUUCCUCAAGUUGUAAGGGGUUAGAUAACAAAUAAUAAAAUAUAGAAAUCCUAGCAUGCUCGUUAUCUAAUUAGCAUAGCAAAAGUGAUCACAGUAUACAGAAUCAUCAAUUAUCACAUACAUCUUGUAUAUAAUUCCUAAAAAAAAUAGAUAGACAUGAUUUCAACAAGUGUCAAAUGUGGCAACAAAAAUAAAUUUUGAAAAGAUUUUCUUAUGUAGGGGUUUCACCAAUUCCCCAAAUUAAUAUACACGAAUUUAGCUUAGAAUUAUCCCAUUUAUUUGGGACUACAAGCUUUGAUUCGUGUUUUUGUUCAAAACCAAAAAUUUUUGUUGAAAAUCAAGAAGGAUGCGAACCGAACAAGAUAUGGUUGCAUAUUAUUUUUAAAUAAAUAAAUAAAUAAAUAAAGGAGAUUUUGAUCCUGAGGACUUUAAUGAGUUUUUUUUUUUAAAAUAGAUUUUUAAAAUGAUUUUUUUGAGAAAAGUAUUUUAUUUUAAAAUAAAAGGGAUUAAUUUGGGAAAAAAAUAAAAUAUAAGAAAUAAAAUACCAAACAAAACAAAAAUGAAACCUCAAAGUAAAAUUUUUUUAGUAAUUAACAAAAAUGAUAAUGGUGAUGGUAGAGGGCAAUCUUCAUGAUUUUCCAAUGGCCUCAGAAAGAAAAUCAAAUUAAAUGAAGGAUCACUAACAGGCAAGACAUUCUAAAUUAGACAAACUAACAAAGUAUCAAUUCAUGAACUAACCGCUAGGAUUUUGAAAGCAUAUAAGCUAAGAUAAGGGUGAUCAGGAACUAAUAUUAAUGAUUUUGAAAUAAAAACUAAAAAAAAGGAUCAAUUCGGGUAAGGAACUAAAAUUAUAAAAGUACCUAAACUAAUUAUGACGAGUUUGACUAAAUUAAACUAAAAACAUGAACUUUCAAACAUAGAAUUAAUUUUACUAAUGAACCAAAGCAAACUAAAAAUAUGUACUUUCAAGCAUAGAAUUAAUUUUAUUGAUGAACUAAACUAUAACAAAUAUCUAAACUAAAUAUAAUGAAUCAAAUUAAAUUAAAGCAACUUAAAAACGCAAACUUUCAAACAUAGAAUCAAUUUUAUCAAUGAAUUAAAACUAUAAAUGUAUUUGAACUAAAUAGAUGAAUCAAACUAAAUCAGAGCAAAAUUAAAAAAAAAAAAGAACUUUCUAACAUGAAAUCAAUUUUAUCAACAAAUAAAUGAAUGAAUAACAAGUAAUUAAAAGAAUAGCUACUACAUGAAUAACUGAAUGAAUAAAAUUCAAAUGUUUUCAAUCUGAAGCAAUCAAUCAAAAUUAAAUAGGGAUCAAAUCAAAAUAAUCGAAAUCGGAAAAACAAUAUGCAAUCUUUCUAAAGGUUUAACCAGACAAUUGAAUUAAAAUUAUGAAUAGAAUAAAUUAAUAAACCAAAUCGAAACCUAAAUUGUACCUAAAAAGAUUAAUUAAUUAAACUAAGAAAUCAAAAUCAAUAACAAAACUAAACUAAGGAGUAAAUUAAGACAAGACUAAUUAAAUUAAACUCACAAACACGUUUUAACUAUCAUAUGGAUUAAAACAAAAUUAGCAUGGACUUAUGAAUUACGAACAAAAAUAAUCAAAACUAUUUUAAAAAACUCACCUCUAUUAUAAGAAAAAAUCUGCCUUUGAUGCGUUGAGGUGGCUCCCCUCUCUGUGUGGAUCUCUCUGCUCCCCAGAAAAAAAAUGUCUCUUCCUCCGUUCUCUUUUGUUUCAGCAAAAUAAUAUAUCCCCUGCUGUGGAUCUCUCUACUCCCAGAAAAUAAUAUAUUCUCUCCGUGUCCUAAAGUGGACCUAGGGUGCCUAAGUGGACCUAGGGUGCCUAAAUGGGCCUAGGGUGCCUAAAUGGGCCAAGUGUAUCUAAAUAGGCUUAGGGUGCCUAAGUGGGCCUAAGUCUAAGUGAGCCUAAGUCUAAAUCAAGACUACCAAGGAUCAUAAUAAGGGGUUAGGCAAUCCCUUAACCAAAGUCUCCAAGGUGGCUAAAAAAAAGUAAGUAGUAUGAGUAGCUAUGGGUCACCAAGGAACUACUGUGGAGCAUUGAAAACGAAUUUAAAGACAUGUGCCAAAGGGACAAAAUUGAGGGUCUACAGAUGGUUAGACACAUAGUUGCUCAUGGGAUAUUUGACUUUGGUAAACAAUUCAGAUUCAUAUGUGGGUUUAGGAAUACCUUUAUUAUGACGGUGUGGUAAUCGUUUCAUGAAUGGAUCAGGUUGCAAAUUAAGAACACCCUCAGCAAACAACGAUUGGUUUGGUAUUUCAGUGAAGACAUCUUCGAACCCAAAUUGUUGACCACUCAUAUCCAACUCACCCGCUUCCUGGUUCACUAGUUCAGAUUGUCCAAAUUCAUCAUUCUCAUAGAUAUGAUAAUCAUAAUCGAGAGUCUGAAUUUCCUUAUGGUACUCCCCCUGAAGUUCAGACUUAGAUGAAAAAUACAUCGAAUAUUCAUGAAACAGCNNNNNNNNNNNNNNNNNNNNNNNNNNNNNNNNNNNNNNNNNNNNNNNNNNNNNNNNNNNNNNNNNNNNNNNNNNNNNNNNNNNNNNNNNNNNNNNNNNNNNNNNNNNNNNNNNNNNNNNNNNNNNNNNNNNNNNNNNNNNNNNNNNNNNNNNNNNNNNNNNNNNNNNNNNNNNNNNNNNNNNNNNNNNNNNNNNNNNNNNNNNNNNNNNNNNNNNNNNNNNNNNNNNNNNNNNNNNNNNNNNNNNNNNNNNNNNNNNNNNNNNNNNNNNNNNNNNNNNNNNNNNNNNNNNNNNNNNNNNNNNNNNNNNNNNNNNNNNNNNNNNNNNNNNNNNNNNNNNNNNNNNNNNNNNNNNNNNNNNNNNNNNNNNNNNNNNNNNNNNNNNNNNNNNNNNNNNNNNNNNNNNNNNNNNNNNNNNNNNNNNNNNNNNNNNNNNNNNNNNNNNNNNNNNNNNNNNNNNNNNNNNNNNNNNNNNNNNNNNNNNNNNNNNNNNNNNNNNNNNNNNNNNNNNNNNNNNNNNNNNNNNNNNNNNNNNNNNNNNNNNNNNNNNNNNNNNNNNNNNNNNNNNNNNNNNNNNNNNNNNNNNNNNNNNNNNNNNNNNNNNNNNNNNNNNNNNNNNNNNNNNNNNNNNNNNNNNNNNNNNNNNNNNNNNNNNNNNNNNNNNNNNNNNNNNNNNNNNNNNNNNNNNNNNNNNNNNNNNNNNNNNNNNNNNNNNNNNNNNNNNNNNNNNNNNNNNNNNNNNNNNNNNNNNNNNNNNNNNNNNNNNNNNNNNNNNNNNNNNNNNNNNNNNNNNNNNNNNNNNNNNNNNNNNNNNNNNNNNNNNNNNNNNNNNNNNNNNNNNNNNNNNNNNNNNNNNNNNNNNNNNNNNNNNNNNNNNNNNNNNNNNNNNNNNNNNNNNNNNNNNNNNNNNNNNNNNNNNNNNNNNNNNNNNNNNNNNNNNNNNNNNNNNNNNNNNNNNNNNNNNNNNNNNNNNNNNNNNNNNNNNNNNNNNNNNNNNNNNNNNNNNNNNNNNNNNNNNNNNNNNNNNNNNNNNNNNNNNNNNNNNNNNNNNNNNNNNNNNNNNNNNNNNNNNNNNNNNNNNNNNNNNNNNNNNNNNNNNNNNNNNNNNNNNNNNNNNNNNNNNNNNNNNNNNNNNNNNNNNNNNNNNNNNNNNNNNNNNNNNNNNNNNNNNNNNNNNNNNNNNNNNNNNNNNNNNNNNNNNNNNNNNNNNNNNNNNNNNNNNNNNNNNNNNNNNNNNNNNNNNNNNNNNNNNNNNNNNNNNNNNNNNNNNNNNNNNNNNNNNNNNNNNNNNNNNNNNNNNNNNNNNNNNNNNNNNNNNNNNNNNNNNNNNNNNNNNNNNNNNNNNNNNNNNNNNNNNNNNNNNNNNNNNNNNNNNNNNNNNNNNNNNNNNNNNNNNNNNNNNNNNNNNNNNNNNNNNNNNNNNNNNNNNNNNNNNNNNNNNNNNNNNNNNNNNNNNNNNNNNNNNNNNNNNNNNNNNNNNNNNNNNNNNNNNNNNNNNNNNNNNNNNNNNNNNNNNNNNAACCAAAGGAAGCAUGUUCCAGACGUCGAUGCCACAACCAAAUUUCAGACUUUUUCUUCUCCUCCUUAGAUCCAUCUGCCAUCAAGGCUUGUUGCAACUUAUUUGAAUCCUUUGAUUGCAAGUCCAAGUAUAGAGUUUCCCCCGCUUAAUACGACAACCAAUCGUCUGUCUUGUUUGAAUGUCCUUAAUCACACAAAAUUCAGGCCAAAAAAUGACAAUACAAGAUAAGGCUGCAGUGAUUUGAGAAACUAACAAAAGAUUGUAAUCUAAAGAUGGAACAACUAAAACAGAAUCCAAAUUCAAAGUAUCAGUAAGAGUUAAGGAUCCUUCCCCAAUGACUGGGGUUGUGUUACCAUUGGCUGUGGAAACAAUUUUUUGUGAGGAAGGUCUAAGGGGUGAAACCUGUCUAGAAUCAAAAGUCAUAUGAUCUGUAGCACCAGAAUCAAUUAUCCAUGCACUAUUAAUAACAGGUGUAAAAGUAUUUAAAAACUUACCACAAUGAUCUGUAGCGGCUACUAAUGCAGAGACUUUCUCAACAACAUUAGUCUUUGUUUUUAUUUCGGUAACAGUUGCAAUCAAGGUUUUCUUGGAAUUCUUCUUCCGUUGAUCACGAUUAUUAUCAUUAAUAACAAAGUGUUGAUAGCCUAAACAUGAUCUAAAGGUCCAUGGUGCAAACCCUCGGUUCCUCAUUGUUUUCCUGGUCAUACCAAGAGUUGUUGCUUUGAAAUUGUGGGAUAUCCAGACUGGUGGGAUCAGUUUUAUUGCAGUGAGUGCAUUUGAAUGUUGACUUAUCAAUAUUAGGGCUUGUCUUCGGAUGGUUGAUUGCUGUUGGACUACCAUAGCGACAAAAUAUCCAGGAUUUCAAUUCCAGGGCUCUGAUACCAUCUUCAAAUUGAUGAAUGAUAGUUUUUCAUUCAUUCUUUCAUGUACAGAGUAUAUAUAGAGGGUAAUCACCAUUCUAAGAAUGGGAAAGAAUGAUACGAGGAAAUAAUGAUAUAAGGAAAUAAUAACUAAUAUCCUAAUAUCUCAACUUUCCUAAUAUCUCAAUAUUCCUAAUAUCUCAACUUUCCUAAUAUCUAAACAUUCAUAAUAUCUCAACACUAAAUGAUACAAGGAAAGAAUGAUAUAAGGAAAACAUUCCUAAUAUCUCAACACCACUUCAUGAUAUAUAUAGUUUCUUACCCUUAAUCAAUGGUUUCUAAGUGAAUUUAUAUAGAAAGAAAUCCAAACUGUAGACAGCAGUAUUGGUAACACUCAAUAUUCUGUAUAUAAUAGAAUAAAUAGCGUCACAGUGAUCGUCGCCUACAAGCAAGGUACAAAUACCACAAAGAGUGACCCACAUAGACAUUCCCCAACAAGAUGUAGUAGUGACUGACACAUAGCCACAAUUAACACGUAGAAAAGGAUAAGACCGGUGCACAGUAGCUCUUAUUUUACAUACUACUUAUGCCAACCAAAGUCACUCAGUUGGGAUGGGAGGGAGAUGGAGGUUUGUGCGGUGGCUUGUGGGGCGGAGUUGAUGGCUUCUUUCCAGGAGCUUCUGGCUUUUUCAUCGGAGCUGAAGGAGGCUCAAUCUUAUGAGGCGGCUUGUACGAGUCUUCUUUGCUCUCGAAAGGAGGGUGGCCAGGGUUGUGACCAUAAUGUGGUGGUUUCUCUCCCUUGGGAGGUUUACCAAUUGGGGUUGGUGGCUUGUGUUCUGGGAGUGGUUUCUCUCCCUUGGGAGGUUUAGUGGGUGACUUGUGUUCUGGAGGUGGCUUCUCCACCGAAGGCUUGUGCUCCGGUGGUGGCUUUUUGGUUGGAGGGGGCUUGGGGUAAUCAGCAAGAGAUGGGGUGGUGAGAACCACCAGUCCAAGGAACAACACUAGCAAGUAUGUGGGAGACAUUUUUGAGUUUGGGCUGAUCAGAUGAUGCAAAACUAAAGCAUUACGUGACCUUUUAUAGCAAGUAGCUCCCAAUACCUACUUGACACGUGUUACUGUGACCCAUAAAUAUUAUGGGGUCUAUUUGUGCCCUACCGGGUUGAAAACUUGGACAAUUGGGCAAGGACCCGCCUGACUAUGGAGGACUACUGAGGUGUGAUCACAGCUUUAGGAUUUUUCUUCCUCUGCAGCCGUCUUGCCGUUGGCAUGAUUUUCUUAAUCUCAAAUAAAGGCAUAGUUAUAGAGUUGUUUAAUCUCUAAAUGGGAUUUUAUAUAUCUUCAGAUAGCCAUUAAUACAUUUGAUGAAGAAAGAAAGACAAGUGCAUACAACAUGUAUACGACUAGCUUUCAUGGAGUUCAUUUAUGAUCAGUUUUCCUGUACAUGUAAACCAAGAUCAUAUAUGUUUUUGUUCCACAACAAUUUUGGAAUCUUGUUUAUCCGUUUUUAUCAUUAUAAUGUCACAUAGGCUGCCAACUUGGGCGCUAAAUUAAAGAUCCAGUUGGGCAAGUUCGUUUCAGAAUUUCAAUGGUGGAUUCAGGAAUUGUUUUAUAAGAUAUGCAAAAUAGUAGAGGGAUGAAUAGUGUUUCAUUAAGAAAAGAGCCCUGUAAAAAUAUUGUUUAAAGGUGCCAUAGAAACUAUAAUCAAUAAAUAACUUUUUUUCCCCAUGGGUGGUGUUUCUUGUGGGGAUCAGUGACUGGUUUGAGUCAACGCCGUGUCUCUUUAGUCCAGAAAUCAACUAUUUUAUGCAUUGAAUACAUCAACAAAGAAAAUAUGAAAGCCAAAUGACACCUCCCCCGCAAAAACUAAACCCUGGUUGCUAACUUUCUAUGUUUCAGUUCCAUUCACACAAGAAUAUUAGUUCAAGUUUGAGAAAAAUGGCGACUUACCUAGUGAUAACUCGGUCUUGGUUUGCGAUUUGACUUUAACGUCAUGGGUUGAAGCCUCCUACAAUCAUCGUGUAUGCUAGUUCAAAGCUCGUGGAAGAAGUUAUACAGGGAGGGAGAAACCUCCACAGCAAGCUCCAAAAGAGAAUUAUCACAUUGAAAGCUCCAGUUGAACACUGGGUGAAAGCCAUAACAAGAUUGGUUUUCUAUCGCUCUUUUAAGUAAUGGAAGAUUAUUAUCUCUGCUUGUCACUACAACCGUGCAUGCUGCUAGAUCUUUCUAGACACUUCAAACAGUGAAACCAAGUAUGAUUCUUUUUCUCUUGAGUGGGUCCACUUGCAUGCCAAUGAACGAGUUGAAAAGUUGGACAAUUGGCCACAGCGCGCACUUACCUUCUGGAACCGAAGGUCAGUGAAGUGGGGUUCCUUUUGGCCCCUUGUGUUUCUGUUCCAACCUACUCCAGGAACCGAAGUUCAGUGAAGUGGGGCUACUUUUGGCCUCUUGUGUUUCUGUUCCAACCAAACAAAAAUGGGAGGGAAAAAUAGCAUUAUGCUUGUGCUAAAGAUCAACGCAUGAUAGCUGAAUAAGGGAGAAAAAGGCAUUGCUAUCUCAAUUUCAUAAACUUGAUAAGUAGUGACAUUAAUAGUCUUCCUCAUAGAUGGAUACAUGGUUUUAUUUUAUUUAUUUAUUUUUAUUUUUUUGUUUUAUGUCAAUGCUAAUGAAUGAAGUGCAUUAGCUUGUUUUGUGACUAGAACUACAAAUGUCCAAAUUGGAGCUUCUCCAAUAUAUUUCUCAGUGAGUUAUUGAUUAGAACUCUUGGAUUGAGUUCCAAGAUUUGAAUCAGACCCCUCUAGCAGCUUCAGGGGUACGUAGCAACCUAUAGCAUAUUAAUGAAGACUUAGGAUUUAGACUUAGGAAUACAAAUUAAUAUGUACCUCAUGCUCUGACUAGCUUCCCUGCGUAUGCACAAAAUGGAGAUGACUCCCAAAAAAAUAGCAGAAUCGCCUUAGUAUGUUUUUGUGGUUAAGAUGAUUCUCCACUUUAUAUAUCCACAUUGGUUCAUUAUGCAAAUUAAUCAACUAAGCUAUUUUUAUUUUUUCUUAAAUGUGAAAUAGGAGCUCCAAAUUAACCUAACCAUUGGCCUGAUUGAAUUGAUUUCACUUGCAUAAUGUUAUAGUAGAAGUCCGUAAUUUGAAUUUUAUUUUUGCAAAAGGUAACGUAAAUGAAGCAUUGUAAUUAAAUUUAUUUGUAAUUACAAACUAAUUUUAUUUUAUUAAGAAUUAAUUUAAUUACUCAUUUAAAAUAAAAAUCAGUUAUACUUUUACCAAGAUGAUAAUAUUCAUAUUUUUCUAGUUAACAUAUAUAAAAUAGUACACUUUUUCAUAUAAAAAAAUAAUUUAUGAUUUAUUAUAAUGUUACUAUUCACAUUUUACUAAAUUGAUGGUACAUGAUAGUGAGAGAAGGGGGUGUCACACUCAGCUAAAGUUCUUUUCAAAAUAUUGCAUGGUGUUUAAUUUUAUGUGUCGGCGCGCGUGUGAAUGGAACCUGCAAAAGUCCAAAUUGGCGUUUCUCCAUUUUCCACAUAGGAUGGUGACGUUAAUAGACAAAGAUACAAUAUCUGUAGACAUUGCUUAAAAAUCGAUGUGAAGUAUUAGAAAUUACAGGGCACUGUACUGGGGGAGCGGCUGCCCCGCCAAAGGAGGAAGAAUGUAGCAAUUUCUUCUGUUAGCCAGGCCUUAGGAUUUAUGCAUGGGAUGCCUAAUAACAAACAGAGAAAAUAUACUUUUGGGGAAGGUAUCCAACAACAGACACCAUCAUUCAGAUGGUGGGAAGGUAUCCAACAGAUGCCAUCAUUCAGAUGGUAACAUAUAUAUACAUUUAUUAGUGAGUUUUUUUAAUACCUAUAAAAAAAAAUAUACACUUUGAUAUUGUGGCUGAAUCCAUUACAUACUCAACUAACCUUGCUCAUUAGGGAUUUGACUUAACAAGGGCAACGUUGCAGUACAAGCUCAAAACUUUAUGCAGGUGACAUUACAUUUGGUAAAGAAGAGGAAAAUAACGAAAGCCAUCCAUAAAAGCAAAAUUCCACAUGGGAUGAAAUUCACAAGCUUCAUUUACGAUAGAGUCGCAUCCAGGCAAUUAAUUCCACAUUAGACCGCCUGUUGACAUGUGUACCAAUCUUUUUUCAAAAAAUAUUUAUAAAUAAUUGAUACUCACAAAAAUAAUUUAAUAUUUAUAAAGGAUAAAAAAAUAUUUUCAAAUCUAUAACAAUUUAUAAAAUAUUAAUAAAAAAUUAUCUCUUAAACUUAGUAUAGUUUUAUCAGAUUAAACUUUUAUUUUGAACAAAUAAUUUUAAUCUAAGUUUUAAAUUCUAAAAUUAUUUCCUUAAAAUAAAAUUUUAAAAUUCAACACUUCAAUUGAAAUUGUCUUUUUAAAAAAUAUCUUCUUAUUUUAAUCCUUAUAAACUAUAGUUGAUUGAAAAUACUAUUGAAGUUCUCUCUUAAAAAAAAGUCUUAUUUUAAUCUUCAUAAAUUGCCCUUGAUUUGAAAAUAAAUUUUCAGUUAUCAUAUUUUAAAUAAUAUCUAUAUUUAAAAUACUCUAUUUAAAAAAAAAUGAACUAAUUUUAAUUAUAUUAUAUUUUAUUUUUUUAUAUAUUUUUAAUGAUAAACCAAACAUAGAAAAUCAUUUUUCUAAAUAUUUUAAAAUUUCUAAGCAACCAAACAUAAUCUUCAAAAUAAAAGGAAAAUAAGGAGGGACAUUUGAGAAAUGGCGAUUAAAAAAAAGUGUACAAAAGCUCAAUUAAUUUUCUUCUAGUCUUUUAUAUAAAAAAGUAAAGGAAUUGAAAAGUAUUGAUAUGUAAAUUAAUAUUUGGAUUUUAAUAGUAUUUUAUUUGUCUUUCUCUAUCUCAUGUAAAAGAGAAUUUAAGAUAUUUCCUAAAGCAAAGCAUUAGUUAUCUGCAAUCAGUGGUGAUCAUGCCCCAUGUCAAUUUCGGACCCAUAUCUUAAAACUGUAUAAUUUGCAUUCAAACAUUACUGAUUUCUCAGAUGUUUCAUACUCCACAGAAGAGCAUUGUUUGUGAAAGCAUGCAUUUAUGUUGGAUUUUGGAUGAUGUGGGAACUGGGGCAAGGAUCAUAUGGAAGAGUGGUCGAUUUUGUUCUGUACUUUAACAUUUGAAAUAGGAGAAGCUCGGGCAUUUGUGGGGCUUAAUUGAUUUUGAAGCCUGAAAUUGCGUUUCUGUCAUUUUGUAAAAAAUAUGGCAGAUUCCAUGCUCUCAUAUGUUUGGUCUGUGGCCAUGUAUAGAUGCCCCUUAGUGACCAGUUUGUAACUGUCAAUCAUAGUGUUUUGACUCUGGCUCAACAACAUCAGCCAUUGACGGAUUUUCAUACUUGCAAAUCAAAUAGUCUUCUUCCUCCCUUAGGAAUUUCGGUUUAAAUGUUAUUAAGCAUACAUUUGGCUGACAAUUAUUAACCACUUCAUGAUAUGGUUUCUUACCCUUAAUCAAUGGUUUCUAAGUGAAUAUAUGCAGAAGGAAAUCUGAACUGUAGACAGCAGUAUUGAUAACUCUCAAUAUUCUUUAUAUAAGAGAAUAAACAACGUCAUAGUGAUCGUCGCCUACAAGAAAGGUACAUUUCCCAACAAGAUGUAGUUGUGACUGGUACAUGGACGCAAUUAACUCGUACAAAAGAAUAAGACCAGUGCACGGCAGCUCUUAUUUUACAUGCUAAUUAUGCUAACCAAAGUCACUCAGUUGGGAUGGGAGGGAGAUGGAGGUUUGUGCGGUGGCUUGUGGGGCGGAGUUGGUGGCUUCUUUUCAGGAGCUUGUGGCUUUUUCGGAGCUGAAGGAGGCUCAAUCUUAUGAGGCGGCUUGUACGAGUCUUCUUUACUCUCGACAGGAGGGUGGCCAGGGUUGUGACCAUAAUGUGGUGGCUUCUCUCCCUUAGGUGGCUUGCCAACUGGGGUUGGUGGCUUGUGUUCAGGAAGUGGUUUCUCUCCCUUGGGAGGUUUACCAAUUGGGGUUGGUGGCUUGUGUUCUGGGAGUGGUUUCUCUCCCUUGGGAGGUUUAGUGGGUGACUUGUGUUCUGGAGGUGGCUUCUCCACCGGAGGCUUGUGCUCCGGUGGUGGCUUCUCCACCGGAGGCUUGUGCUCCGGUGGUGGCUUCUUGAUUGGAGGGGGCUUGGGGUAAUCAGCAAGAGAUGGGAUGGUGAGAACCACCACUCCAAGGAACAACACUAGCAAGUAUGUGGGAGACAUUUCUGAGUUUGAGCUGAUCAGAUGAUGCAAAACUAGAAGAAUUACGGGACCUUUUAUAGCAAGUAUCUCCCAAUACCCACAUGACACGUGUUACUAUGACCAUAAAUAUUAUAGGGUCCAUUUGUGCCCUACCGGGUUGAAAACUUGGACGCUUGGCCGAGGACACACCUGACUAUGGAGGACUAUUGACGUGUGAUCACAGCUUUUGGAUUUUUCUUCCUGUGCAGCUGUCUAGCGGUUGGCAUUAUUUUCUUAAUCUUAAAUAAAGGCAUAGUUAUAGAGUUGUUUAAUCUCUAAAUGGGAUUUUAUAUAUCUUCAGAUAGCCAUUAAUAUAUUUGAUGAAGAAAGACAAGUGCAUACAACAUGUAUACGGCUUGCUUCAAUCGAGUACAUUUAUGAUCAGUUUUCCUGUGCAAGUAAACCAGUUUUUUGUUCCACAACUAUUUUGGAAUCUUGUUUAUCAGUUUCUAUCAUUAUAAUGUCACAUAGGCUGCAAACUUGGGCACCCAAAGAUCUAGGUGGGCAAAUUUGUUUCAGACUUUCAAUGGUGGAUUCAGUAAUUGUUAAAAGGUGUUUCUUCAUUAAGGAAAGAGUCCGGUAAAAAUAUUGUUAAAAGGUGUCAUAGAAACUAUAAUAAAUAAAUAACUUCUUUUCCCCAUGGGUGGUGUUUCUUCUGGGGAUCAGUGACUGGUUAGGGUCACCCAAAAUGAGUCCAGAUUAAAAUUGGUUCGAGUCAAAGCAGUCUCUUUUGUCCAGAAAUCAACUAUUUUGCGCAUUGAAUGAAUCGAUAAAGAAAAAAUGAAAGCCAAAUCACACCUCCCCUGCAAAACCUAAACCCCGGUUGCUAACUUUCUAUGUUUCAGUCCUAUUCAUAUAGGAAUAUUGGUUCAAGUUUGAGAAAAAUGGCAACUUACCUAGGGUUUACUUGGUUUUGGUUUGCGACUAUUUACGCAACCAACCAUGAGUUUGACUUUAACGUCAUGGGUUGAAGCCUCCUACAAUCAUGUAUGAUAGUUCAAAGCUCGUGGAAGAAAUUAUACAGGAAGGAAGAAACCUCCAAAGCUAGCUCCAAAAGAGAAUUAUCACAUCGAUAGCUCCAGAGAUUCCCAAGGGAACUGAAUCAAAGACAAGUUCCUCACUUUUUCUUCUUUUGAGGCCAAAUAUGAACCAAGGAUCACACGACCUCAUUCAACUUCAUAAGUUUGAUUUCAUGCAGUUGAACACUGGGUGAAGGCCAUGACAAGAAUUGAUUAAAAAAUUCUACCACUCUUUUAAGUAAUGGAAGAUUAUUAUCUCUGAUUGGCACCACAACAGCACAUGCUGCUAGAUCUUUCUAGACACUCCAUGCAAUGAAAGCACAAUGGAUCUUGUAAUGAUAGAAACUAAGCCAUGCUACAGUACUAGAUGAGGGGGUAAAACUAGUAGACAUCUUUCUAGACACUCCAUGCAAUGAAAGCACAAUGGAUCUUGUAAUGAUAGAAACUAAGCCAUGCUACAGUACUAGAUGAGGUGGUAAAACUAGUAGACAUGGCUGGCAGUUGAUUACUACUCAAAAAGUACUCUUUUAUAGCUUGAAACUAACUGUUUUAAACACUUUUGAGUAGUAGUUAAUACCUUUUAACUUAAUUGGCACAUUAAGGAACCUAGCAAGGGUUACUAAUCAACAUUUGGCAAGUUUUGAUGUUUUUGGUAGCUAUUUGAUCAUUGAAACAAGCCAAGAAUGAGGGGGAAUUUUGUGAAGUCCAUGGCAAUGCAAGUUAAAGCUCAAAUACAUGAAGAAUCCAAGCUUUGGAGCACUUCAUAGCCCUUUGCCAAGCCAAUCAAAGAUGCAAGGAAGAAAACCAAAGGAAGAAAUCCAACAAUCAGCAUUUUGGCAUGGCUAUGUGAAAUUUCGCACACCAUGCGAAACCACAAGAGGCAGCCAAAGAAUUUCGCAUGGUAUGCGAAAUCUUCUUGUGCACUGACUCUGUUAGAUUUUUAUCUUCAGAUAUUUUGUGUAAUUUCCUAGUUUCUCCUUGUAACCAACUUAGAUAUUUUCUUUUAUAUCUUUUUUUAUAUUUUUUAGGUAACAUCAUAUAUAAGAGGAGAGACAUAAGGAGGAUAUGGAUGUUUUUCAUAGAACACUUGUAAAUUUUUGGUAGUAAGAAAUAUACAAAGCUUUUUGCUCUGCCUUACCUUCUCAAGGGAUGAGUGGCUAGGUUUUCUUGGAGUGAGGGAAGCUAGGUGAAGGACCUGAAUGCAAAGGUGGGAGUUUUCCUUACUUUAAAUGAAAGUAGUUGUUAAACAUUAAUGGUUUUUAUUUUAAGGUUUAGCUUUAAAUCCCUGAAAAACACCUUGAAUGGCCAAUACUUGGUAAGCUUUUUAGAUUCUAUGGAUGCUUAUUGCUAGAUCCAUGGAUGUCUAUUAGUUAUCAUUUACGAGCCAUUGGAAGGUGAUUCAAGGUGAGGGUCUUUAGUGUUUGAAGCCAUUAAUGGGAAGCAAUUACCAUUUUUUCAUGAAUCCUUUGGAUCAAAUCUUAAUUGCUAAAUAUAAAACCGGUUUCGAGAGAUAACCACCAUCCUUUAUGUUAUUAUCCCCAACGCGAGGAGAAGAUCCGAAAUCUUCCUUUUUAUCUAAGGAACCCGAUCCUAGUGACCUAAAGCUCCAAGAUACCUUUUCUUUGUAGUUAACUUCAUUUAUUGUUUUUGCUUAACUUAAAAUCAAUCUUUGCAACCACAAUUCCAUUUUCUUUAAAAGCUAAUUUUUAUAAGGAAAAACACCAUUUUAUUUCCUUCACUAAGUCAACUGUACGAUGAAAACCCAUCCCUGUGGACGAUCCUAGAGCCACUAUACUAUGUUAGCUAUGCUACCCUAGUGUGAGGUGAUUUAGGUUUUAUAAAUUUUUUUGAUAACACCCAUCUGAGCCAGAAUCAAAUGGCACGACUGAACCAGGGACGAAUCAAAUGACGCCGCUACCAAGGAUGGUGCCAAAGUACAUUGACAUGACUUUUGGUGAACACUUGUGAUCUUCACCACAAGUUUGGUGAUUUUUCUUUUACUAAUUUUUUUUAUUUUAGCUUAUCUUUUAUUUAGUUUUUAGUUAACCUUAAAUUUUUCCUAGAAUUGUAUUUCUUUUGUUUUCUUUGUUUUUGUUUCAGUGAUCUUUAGUUGUGCAUGCCCUAUUGGAUAAGAGAUAUUGAGGGAAUACUUGUGAAGAUUGAAACUCCUCGAGAAACUGAGUUAGAAGUGUGCUUGAACAUCAUGGAUGUUCCACCUGAAGACCAGAAUAGCCAACAUGGUUAAGAGGAUAAUUUCAACACAUACCGAUCCAUGAGGAACCGCAUACAUCCACCUUGUAUGAGUGCACCGUCAGGCAUAAUGCCUCCCACUGAGCAGCUAGUAAUCUGACCUCACAUUGUGCCACUCCUACCUACUUUCCAUGGGAUGGAGAGUGAGAAUCCCUACUCGCAUAUUAAGGAAUUCGAGGAGGUUUGUAAUACAUUCCAAGAAGGAGGAGCUUCAAUUGACUUGAUGAGGCUCAAGCUAUUUCCUUUCACUUUGAAGGAUAAGGCCAAGAUUUGGCUUAAUUCUUUAAGGCCAAGAAGUAUCCAAACUUGGAUUGAUUUGUAAGCCGAGUUUCUUAAGAAGUUCUUCCCUACCCAUAGGACCAAUGGUUUGAAAAGGCAAAAUUUGAACUUCUCAGUUAAAGAGAAUGAGAAAUUCUAUGAGUGUUGGGAGAGCUACAUGGAAGCUAUUAACGUUUGUCCUCACCAUGGCUUUGACACAUGGCUCUUAGUGAGCUAUUUUUACAAUGGUAUGUCUUCUUCAAUGAAGCAACUCCUAGAAACUAUGUGUGGAGGAGACUUCAUGAGUAAGAAUCCGGAGGAAGCCAUGGACUUUUUGAGUUAUGUGGCUGAAGUUUCAAGAGGAUGGGAUGAACCAAAUGCUAGAGAGGUGGGAAGAAUGAAGUCUCAACCUAAUGCUAAGGGUGAGAUGUAUGUUUUGAAUGAAGACAUUGACAUGAAAGCAAAGGUUGCAGCUAUGGCAAGGAGAUUGGAAGAGCUAGAAAUGAAGAACAUACAAAAAGUGCAAGCCAUUUCUGAGACAUCAAUGAAAGCUAUGCCUUGUUCCAUUUGUCAAUCUUAUAAGCACCUAGUGGAGGAGUGUCCUACAAUUCCAGCAGUGAGAGAGAUGUUUGGUGAUCAAGCAAAUGUUAUUGAUCAAUUCAAGCCUAAUAACAAUGCUUCAUAUGGCAACACCUACAAUUCAAAUUGGAGGAACCAUUCAAAUUUCUCUUGGAAACGAAAGCCACCUCAAUACACACAACCUACUCAAGCACCUUAGCAAUCCUCGAAUCUUGAACAAGCUAUUGUGAACCUUAGCAAGGUUGUGGGAGACUUUGUGGGAGAUCAGAAGUCCAUCAAUGCUCAACUGAAUCGGAGAAUUGACAGUGUGGAGAGUACAUUGAACAAAAGGAUGGAUGAGAUGUAAAAUGAUCUGUCUCAAAAGAUAGACAAUGUCCAAUACGUAAUCUCAAGGCUUACCAACCUCAACACAGUGUAAGAGAAAGGAAAGUUUCCUUCUCAACCUCAUCAAAAUCCUAAGGGUAUCCAUGAAGUAGAGGCUCAAGAGGGAGAAUCUUCAAAGGUGAGGGAAGUCAAAGUAGUUAUCACCUUGAAGAGUGGUAAAGAGGUUGAUCAACCCACAUCCAAGCCAAAGCAUAAUGAAGAGAGUGUAGCAGAAAAAGAAAAGAGAGGAAAAUAAAGGAAUUAGAAUAGAGAAAAAUACAAAGAAAGAUGACCAUGAGUCUAGUGUGGAUGAAGAGCCCGAGAGGAUGGUGAUCAAGGAAGAUAUGAUGAAGAAACACAUGCCUCCACCUUUCCCCUAAGCUUUGCAUGACAAAAAAAGAACCAAUAAUACAUCAGAAAAUUUUGAAGUAUUGAGGCAAGUGAAGGUCAAUAUCCCUUUGCUAGACAUGAUCAAACAAGUGUCGACAUAUGAAAAAUUCUUGAAGGACUUGUGCACUGUAAAGAGAGGGUUGAAUGUGAACAAGAAAGCUUUAUUGACCGAGCAAGUGAGUUCCAUCAUACAGUGCAAGUCCUAGUGAAGUACAAAGAUCCGGGUUGCCGUACCAUCUCAGUGAGUAUUGGAAGGACUUGUGUGGAGAAAGCUUUGUUGGACUUGGGAGCAAGUGUGAAUUUGCUAUCCUACUCUGUCUAUAAGCAGUUGGGAUUUGGAGAGUUGAAGCCAAUAUCCAUCACUCUAUCUCUAGCGGAUAGAUCAAUGAAGAUUCCAAGAGGGAUGAUCGAAGAUGUCCUGGUUCAAGUUAACAAAUUCUACUAUCCAGUAGAUUUUGUUGUUCUUGAUAUGGAUCCGGUUGUCAAAUGAACUAAUUAUGUUCCUAUCAUACUUGGAAGACCCUUCCUAGCUACAUCAAAUGCAAUCAUCAAUUGUAGGAAUGGAGUCAUGCAACUCACAUUUGUCAACAUGACAUUAGAGCUCAACAUCUUCCAUUUGUACAAGAAGCAUAUCCAUCAGGAGGAAAAAGAAGGUCUAGAGGAAGUGUGAAUGAUUGACACUUUAGUGGAAGAGCAUUGUGAUCGAGAAUGCAAAAAGAUUUAGUUGAGAAUUUUGGGGAUCUUGAUGAAAGGUUACUUGAACCCUCAGAUUUGCUUGCUACCCUACUCCAUUGGAAGAGAAGAGAAGAAAUUCUACCCUUAUUCAAUGAGGAGGAGACGCAAAGAGCUGCAAAGGAGAAACCCCCAAAACUUAUUCUUAAGCCACUACCCACAGAGUUGAAGUAUGUAUACUUGGAAGAAGACAAGAAGUGCCCUAUUGUUAUAUCUUCAACUCUUACCAUUCAUCAGGAGGAUUGUCUACUUGAAGUCCUUAGAAGAUGUAAGAAGACAAUAAGGUGGCUAAUUUCUUAUUUGAAAGGGAUCAGCCCUUUAGUCUGCACCCAUCAUAUUUACAUGGAGGAUGAAGCUAAGCUAAUUCAUCAACCUCAGAGAAGGUUGAACCCUCACAUGCAAGAGGUGGUUCGAGCUGAAGUUCUGAAGCUACUUCAGACCAGUAUUAUUUACCCCAUAUCAAAUAGCCCAUGGGUGAGUCCUACUCAAGUUGCGCCAAAGAAGUCUGGGAUCAUGGUGGUGCAAAAUGAUAAGGGAGAAGAUGUCUCUACACGCCUCACUACAGGUUGGAGGGUGUGUAUCAAUUACAGGAGGUUGAAUGCAGUGAUAAGAAAGGACCAUUUCUCAUUGCCCUUUAUUGAUCAGGUGCUUGAGAGGGUCUCUGGGCUUUUUUUUUUAUUGUUUCUUGGAUGGCUACUCCGGGUACUUUCAGAUAGAAAUUGAUGUUGAAAACCAAGAUAAGACCAUUUUCACAUGCCCAUUUGGAACCUAUGCAUAAAGGAGAAUGCCUUUCGGCUUAUGCAAUGCACCCGCAACUUUCCAAAGAUGCAUGUUAAGCAUUUUCAGUGAUAUGGUGGAGCGUAUUAUGGAAGUCUUUAUGGAUGAUAUCACCAUUUAUGGAAGUGCAUUUGAUGAAUGCUUGGUCAACUUAGAAGCUGUUCUGAACCGAUACAUUGAGAAAGACUUAGUGCUUAACUGGGAGAAGUGCCAUUUCAUGGUACACCAAGGGAUUGUCCUUGGGCACAUUAUCUCCAAGCAAGGCAUUGAAGUUGACAAAGCAAAGGUUGAACUCAUUGUUAAGUUGCCAUCCUCAACAAAUGUCAAAGGAGUAAGGCAAUUCUUUGGCCAUGUCGGGUUCUAUAGGAGGUUUAUCAAGGAUUUCUCUAAGCUUGCAAGGCCUCUUUGUGAAAUAUUGGUGAAUGAUGUUAAAUUCAUAUGGGAUGAUGGAUUUGAAAGGAGUUUUGAAGAAUUGAAGCUAUUUUUGACAACCGUACCAAUAGUGAGGGCUCCCAACUGGCAACUGCCCUUUGAAGUAAUGUGUGAUGUCAAUGAUUUUGCUAUAGGAUUUUUUCUUGGGCAAAGAGAAAAUGGAAAACCUUAUGUGAUCUACUAUGCGAGGAAGGCAUUGAAUGAGGCACAAAGAAACUACACAACCACCGAGAAAGAAUUGUUAGCUGUAGUUUUUGCCUUGGAUAAGUUUCGCGCUUACUUGGUGGGGUCCUUCAUCAUGGUUUUUACUGAUCACUUUGCUUUGAAGUAUCUGUUGACUAAGCAAGAUGCUAAAGCAAGGCUGAUUAGAUGGAUUCUCUUACUUCAAGAGUUCAAUCUCCAUAUCAAAGAUAAGAAAGGAGUGGAGAAUGUGGUAGCAGACCACAUUUCAAGGCUAGCUAUCGCACAUAAUUCCCAUGCUUUGCCCAUUAAUGACGAUUUUCUAGAGGGGUCUCUCAUGUUGGUGGAAGUUGUCCCUUGGUACGCUCACAUUGCUAACUACCUGGUCACGGGAAAAGUUCCAAGUGAGUGGAAAGCACAAGAUAAGAAGCACUUCUUUGCAAAAAUUCAUGCCUACUAUUGGGAAGAGCCAUUUCUAUUCAAGUAUUGUAUGGAUCAGAUAAUAAGGAAGUGCGUUCCUGAAGAAGAGCAACAGGGGAUCCUUAGUCAUUACCAUGAAAAUGCAUGUGGAGGCCACUUUGCUUAUCAAAAGACAGCCAUGAGGGUGUUGCAAUCGGGUUUCUGUUGGCCAUCACUUUUCAAAGAUGCCCACACCAUGUGCAAGAGUUGUGAUCGAUGCCAGAGGCUUGGGAAGUUGACACGCAGGAACAUGAUGCCUUUGAACCCCACUUUAAUAGUUGAUAUUUUUUAUGUUUGGGGCACUAACUUCAUGGGACCUUUCCCUAUGUCUUUUGGCUACUCUUACAUCUUGGUAGGAGUAGAUUAUGUUUCUAAGUGGGUUGAGGCAGUCCCAUGCAAACACAAUGACCAUAGAGUGGUUCUCAAGUUUCUUAAAGAGAAUAUCUUCUCAAGAUUUGGGGUGCCCAAAGCCAUAAUUAGUGAUGGGGGUACUCAUUUUUGCAACAAGCCUUUUGAAACUCUCCUAGCCAAGUAUGGGGUGAAGCAUAAGGUAGCUACACCUUACCACCCUCAAACUCAUGGACAAGUUGAGUUAGCAAACAGGGAGAUUAAAAACAUAUUGAUGAAGGUGGUGAACACAAACAGAAAAGAUUGGUCAGUCAAGCUUCUUAAUUCACUAUGGGCAUAUAGAACAACUUACAAGACCAUUCUCGGGAUGUCUCCUUAUCGCCUAGUUUAUGGCAAAGCAUGCCAUCUCCCUGUGGAAUUGGAAUACAAAGCUUGGUGGGCAAUCAAGAAGCUCAACAUGGAUUUGAGCAGAGCUGGGUUGAAGAGGUUCUUAGACCUUAAUGAGAUGGAGAAAUUGAGAAAUGAUGCCUACAUCAAUUCAAAAAUUGCAAAAGAAAAAUUGAAGAGGUGGCAUGAUCAGUUGAUUUCCCGCAAGGAUUUUCAAAAUGGACAAAGAGUCUUACUUUAUGACUCUAAACUCCACAUCUUUCCGGGCAAGCUGAAAUCAAGGUGGAUAGGUCAUUUUACCAUUCACCAAGUGCAUUCAAAUGGAGUAGUGGAACUACUCAACUCCAACAAUAUCGAGAACUUCAAAGUGAAUGGCCACCGUCUCAAGCCCUUUGUGGAGUCUUUUUCUCACAACAAGGAGAAAUUCAUCCUCCUUGAUCCACAUCAAGCUUAACAAGACCAAUUUUCUUGAUGGACUUAGUCUUUCUAAAGACUAUCGAGUCCAUAACUUUUUGUUUUAUUUUUUAUUUGAGAUUUUUUCGGUAUUGUUACUUGUUUUGUUUUUUAUUUUUCGUUUUAAUUUUAUUUGGUUUGAUUUAACUUAGGUUUUUGAUGAUCAAUUACAGGGGGGAUUUCAAAUAGAGGAAAAACCAAGAUAAUUCGCACACCCUACGAAAAUUUCGCAAGGCAUGCGAAAUUUAUGGCUUAUUUUGCAUGGGGUGAAAAUUUUCGUACAUCUUACGAACCAAUUUCGAACACUUUGCGAAAAUAAACCAACCCUGCGAAAUCAUUUCGAUUACUCUACGAAAUUUUCGUAGAGCAUGCGAAAAAUUUAGCACACCAAACACCAUUUCGCAUACUAUGCAAAAACCUAAGGGGUCUGCGAAACCAUUUCGCACCUCCAAAUCCAUUUCGCACAUUGUGCGAAAACCAAGAGGCGCUGUGCGAAAAUGAAAAGUCGCCCUGUCAUCCCUUUUUAAACCCCUCGAGCCCUAAAAUCUCCAUUUCGCAAGCACCCCUGUCCUUGCGAAUCCCUCAUUUUCCUCUACUACCUUGCAACCUCGUCCCUUUCCAUUUGAUAUUGUGCCCCGCGCACAUCUCAUUUCAGAGACUCGCACUCCGCGCCCCCUCAAAGCAUGGACUCGAGACCCACCUUCCAUUUCCGACGUGGCACGGACCCAAGGAGCCCUUUCUGCCCCUUCACUAAGACACACACCAAGGCAGAAAGCCUCCUUUGCUCAAGUGCCUAGUGAUUCUCCAUCUUAGGCCUCAGAGGCCUCGGAGGCCCCGUGGAUUCCACCUUCCGAGGGUAGAGCAGCCAUUGGUCCUUCCUCUUCUACUCCUUAGCGUAGAUACGAGACGAGGAGACCACCUACUACACAAGGGGCGACUACUUCGAGCCUUGAGAAUUCAGUACGAUGCCUUCCUGCCAAGAGGGUCAAGACUUCAGGUCCAAGUGAGUCAUCCAGAGCUUCAUAGCCUAAGCCUCCUGUAGAUUCCAAGGUUCCUACUGACAUAUCACCGGAGUCUAUUAUCAGAAGCCCGAUGCUCAUAGCACCGCCCAUUGAGGGCAACUCAGAUUAUAGAGCGAGAUCUUUCCACUUGGAGCUAUAUUUUGAUCAGGAGGCCAUACGACAGCAGCCUGAGCUCCGAGACUCUUAUGGCUUACUGCAGAGGUACCAUCUUGAGGAACUUAUGACUCCUCGUGAGUUUUUUUAUCCCAGAGUAGCACUAAACUUUUACCAGUCCAUGACUACUCGUGGCGUCCCGAGUCCUACCACGAUUCACUUCACCAUUGAUAGACGUCAUGGUAUCCUCAAGGCCAGACAUAUUACAGAGGCUCUACAAAUUCCUUUCGAGCUAGAGGAUCCAUCUGUUUUUCGCUAAUGGUCCCCAGUAUCUCAGAGGGACAUGGUCCGUAUUUUAUCUAGGGGAACAUCUACAGAUUCGAUCUUUCUACGGAAGGAGCUUCGACCUGGGAUGCUCCUCUUAGAUGUGGUGCUAUGCUCCAACCUCUUUCCCUUACAACAUUCGGUACAUAGGUGAUGAGCUAUUUUGGACGCUUUAUUCCGUAUAUCAGAGGGCUUCUACUUUGGCCCGCACCACUUGAUCAUGGUCUCCCUCAUCCACUUUGAGGAGAAGGUUCAUAGGAAGAAGCUUCAGAGGGUGGACACCAUUCCAUUACUAUUCCUGAGGUUACUUUGCCAGGUCUUGGAGUACAUGGGCUUUCCUACUGAGCCUCGGCUCGAGCUUUGCCGCCUUUGUCGAGAGUGAUCCACUCUCGACAAAUGGAAUUAGUUGGCGGGCUAUUCUGCACCUCCAGGAGCCCCUCCCAUGGUAGCACCUCCAAUGUCCCCACAGGCAAAGUAGGGCGAGCUCCCGGCAAAGACUGUACCACCAAUGCCCACACUUGAGGCUAUUUCUGCUGCUCUGCCUAUGACUCCUACUGUUCCACCAGUUGGUCCUUUUACAUCCGAGCCUUCCAUCACCAUCUCGGCUUCGGAGUUUCGCGCCCUUGUGCAUACCUUUCAGACACUCACCACCACACAUACUCCUCUCUUCUAGCAAAUGGUUGAGAUGUGUGCCCAUCAGGACCGGAAGACUACUAUACUCUGCCAAAUUCAGCAGCACCUAAGACUUUUGCCUCAACCUCAACCUAACCAUCCCAUAUCAUCAGAGCCUCUAGCUCCAACUGAGGAUACUAUUCCACCUGAGAACACUACCACAGUAGAGGUCCGGUUUCCACCACCUUAAGAGGCCACCACAGCUACAUCAGAGGAUGUGUCAUCUCCACUUGAGGCUCCCACUACUUGAUCAUAGGACAUAUCUUUAUCUUAUUGUAUUUACAUAUUAUAUUACUAGAGAUUUGUCCUUGUUUUGAUACUUUAUAUUCUGGGAUUGGAUGUAUUGCCUGAUGAUAUCUCAAUUGUACUUUCUCAUAUUAAUAUAUAGACAUCAAUUUUUUUUAGUAUACUUAGCAUUUUUCUAUUUCCUCUACUCAUUACUCUUUUGUUUUUUUUUACUCAUGUGGUUUCUCUUAUACAACUCAGACUCCAUUUCACUCAGGAGGUACCACUUCCUCCCUUUAUUUUCAAUUGCUCUUGAAAUAUUGAGUGCAAUGUUGAUCUUGGUUGGGGGGAGAGUUGAGGAAGGAAGUUUUGUUAAUAAUGCUAGGUUAAUUUGUUAAUUUAGUUACUUUCUGCUUAAUUUUAAAAGUUUUCACUCUACUUUCCAUGGUUAUUAAGGAAAAAUUCUCAAAAUGAAAUGGGAGAAAUCGAAUUCUUGCAUUUUUACUUGAAUCUUAGAAUUUGUAUCAUGCUUAUUAAAGUUGAUGAAUUAUUGAAACUCCUAUUGAAUUCAACCUUAUUUUUUCCACUUUAAUCUUACCACACACGGUGCACAUUAGGUUCCAGUUAUAAGAUAAAAAACUAUCUCACCCCCUAAACUUAGAAAAAUUUACACUUGGUACCUUUGACAUCGUUUUAAUAGUGUUGGGACACCUUAUAAAAGGCCAAUGAGCCUUUAAAAAAAAAAAAAAAAAAAAAAAGAGAAAGAACAAAGUAUUGCACUUGCCUUGAAACCUGAGCAAGAUCCGAGGGGUAUACAGUGAAAGUCUUUAAAACCUGGUGCCCUAAGCCUUGAUUGGUUGGGAGUCACCGACCUCAAUGCUCGUUAUAAGGGUGAAUAGGUGGAGUUUAACAUAUUGUAGGUGCUUGGGUAUUGAAUUUCAAUCUCAAAAGUCCGGGAAAAAAUCUAAGGAGUUAGUGGUCAAAAGAUCCUUAAAGCUUGAUGCCCUAAACCUUGAUUGGUUGAGAGUCAUUGAUGGAUCCCCGCUACAUGGACAUUUUAGAAAACAAUACCUUUAGCAUUGCACGCCUACAAUGAAAAAAAAAUGUGAAAUAAAAGAGGUGCGUUCUUAGCCUAUUGGAGGUUGGUCAGUUUGCUAAAGUUUGAGAAAUCUAGGUUGGGGGGAGAGAAUAGUCCGACAUACUAUAAUAAAAAACUAAUAACCUUAACACUUAGAUUUUUGUGGAAGAGUAAGGAUUGGACCUUUAGGGGUGGAAAUUCUUUUGAUGCUUAAAUUUGCAUAAUGCCUACUCUUUAUAAAUUAUGAUUAGGCAAGAGAUUUGAUGACUCUUGUUCAAAGUUGGGUUUUUCCUCUUUGAUGUUCCAUGAGAGAGUAUAAUCCUCAUCAUGCCACUUGAAAUCUUUUUGGAGUGAUUAACAUGAUUUUGUAAAUUAUUUUACUGUCUAUUUUUCUUUAUCUCUCUUUUAUUGCUAAUGGACUAGCAAUAUGUCAGUUGGGGGGAGUGAUUACUACUCAAAAAGUACUCUUUUAUAGCUUGAAACUAACUGUUUUAAACACUUUUGAGUAGGUGUUAAUACAUUUUAACUCAAUUGGCACAUUAAGGAACCUAACAAGGGUUACUAAUAAGUUUUUGGCAAGUUUUGGUGUUUUUGGUAGCUAUUUGAUCAUUGAAACAAGCCAAGAAUGAGGGAGAAUUUUGUGAAGUCCAUAGCAAUGCAAGUUAAAGCUCAAAUACAUGAAGAAUCCAAGCUUUGAAGCACUUCAUAGCCCUUUGCGAAGCCAAUCAGAGAUGCAAGGAAGAAAACCAGAGGAAAAAAUCCAACAACCAGCAUUUUCGCAUGGCUGUGCGAAAUUUUGCACACCAUGCGAAACCACAAGAAGUAGCCAAAGAAUUUUGCACACCAUGCGAAAUUUCGCAUGGUAUACGAAAUCUUCCUAUGCACCAACUCCGUUAUAUUUUUAUCUUCAGAUAUUUUGUGUAAUUUCCUAGUUUCUCCUUGUAACCAACCUAGAUAUUUUCUUUUAUAUCUUUUUUUUAUAUUUUUUAGGUAACAUCAUAUAUAGGGGGAGAGACAUAAGGAGGAUAUGGAUGUUUUUCAUAAAACACUUUUAAUUUUCUGGUAGUAAGAAAUAUACAAAGUUUUUUGCUCUGCCUUACCUUCUCAUUUUGUUUUCACCUAUCUUUCUAGCCAAACAACCUCUGAGAAUGAUUUCUCAGGGGAUGAGUAGUUAGGUUUUACGUUUCUUGGAGUGAGAGAAGCUAGGUGAAAGACCCAAAUGCUAAGGUGGGAGUUGUCCUUGCUUUAAAUGAAAGUAGUUGUUAAAUAUUAAUGGUUUUUAUUUUAAGGUUUAGCUUUAAAUCCCUUAAAAACACCUUGAAUGGCCAAUACUUGGUAAGCUUUUCGGAUUCUAUGGAUGCUUAUUGCUAGAUCCAUGGAUGUCAUUAGUUAUCAUUUAUGAGCCAUUGGAAGGUGGUUCAAGAUGAGAGUCUUUAGUGUUUGAAGCCAUUAAUGGGAAACAAUUACCAUUUUUUCAUGAAUCCUUUGGAUAAAAUCUUAAUUGCUAAAUAUAAAACUGGUUCGGGAGAUAACCAUCCUUUAUGUUAUUAUGCCCAAUGCAAGGAGAAGAUUUCGAAUCUUCUCAUUUGUCUAAGGAACCCGAUCCUAGUGACCUAAAGCUCCUAGAGACCUUUUCUUUGUAGUUAACUUCAUUUAUUGUUUUUGCUUAACUUAAAAUCAAUCUUUGCAACCACAAUUCCAUUUUCUUUAAAAGCUAAUUUUUAUAAGGAAAAGCACCAUUUUAUUUCCUUCACUAAGUCAACUGUAUGAUGAAAACCCAUCCCUGUGGACGAUCUUAGAGCCACUAUACUAUGUUAUCUAUGCUAUCCUAGUGUGAGGUGAUUUAGGUUUUAUAAAUUUUGUUGAUAACACCCGUCUGAGCCAGAAUCAAAUGGAACCACUGAACCAGGGACAAAUCAACAGCCUAUAUGGGAGGGACACAAGUUUAAUUGAUUUGCAUUUCAGCGUUAUAGAUAAGUAUGUUUUGGAAGAUUUGUUCUGGAAAUACUGCACCAAGUACGAUUCUUUUUCUCUUGAGUGAGUCCAUUUGCAUGCCAAUUAACGAGUUGAAAAGUAGGAGCACCUACCUCGUGCUCAUGGAACCGAAUGUCAGUGAAGUGGGGCUCCUUUUAGCCUCUUGUGUUUCUGUUCCAACCAAGGCGGCGUAGGGAAAAACAACAAUAUGUCUGUGCUAAAUAUCAACGCAUGAUAGAUGUUUUUUUUUUUUUUUUUGGUAUGUCAAGGCUAACGAAUGAAAUGCAUUAGCUUGUUUUGUGACUAUAACUGCAAAUGUCCAAAUUGGAGUAUCUCCAUUUCUCACUUCGGAUGGUUAACUUUAUAAACAAGAUAUAGGAAACAUGUGAACAUCUUGAGGAACAAUUCAAAUUAUUCAUUAGAAGUCCUGGGUUAAGUUCCAAGAUUUAAAUCAGACCCUUCUAGCAGCUUCAAGGGUACUUAGCAACCUAUAACAUAUUAAUGAAGAUUUAGGAUUUAGACUCCGGAAUACAAAUAAAUAUGUAUCUCAUGCUUUGACUAGCUUCCCUACAUAUGCAUAAAAUGGAGAUGACCCAAAAAAAAUAGCAGAAUCUAGCUUCCCUACAUAUGCACAAAAUGGAGAUGACCCAAAAAAUAGCAUAAUCGCCUUAGUUUCUGUGGUUAAGGUGAUUCUCCGCUUAAUAUCCACAUUGACUCAUUAUGCAAAAUCAACUGAGCUAAUUUUAUUUAUUUAUUUAAUGUCAAAUAGGAACUCCUAAUUAACUGAUUACUGUCGAAAAGUGCUAUUUUGUAGACCUAAUUAUAAGGGUUUUAAGCACCUUUGAGUAGUAAUCAUAUUCAUUUAACCUAAUUAAUUCAUUAAGCUCCUUAGUAAUUAGUUCUAACCAUUUUUAGUGGCAAGUUUACAUGUUUUUCAUCAGCUUAUGAACCAAUUCAAGCAUGCCAAUUGAUGGAGGAGCUACUUGGGCGAGUUAAGCAAGGAUUUUGGACGUUUACAGGCUUGAAUUUCAAGUGGAAACACGAGCACAAGCAAUGGGAACACCAUUUCGCAAGGGGAGGCAAUUCACCUUGCCAAAUGACCAAUUUCGCAAGGGGAUUUUCCUCAUGGUGCAAAAUUUGGUCAUUUCGCACCAUGAAGAAACCACCUUGCAAAAUUUCGCAAGGUGGAUUUAGGCACCUUGCGAAAUGCCAAAUUUCACAAGGUGGCUUUUCACCUUGCGAAAUUUGGACCUUUCAUCUUCCCCCCUUGCGAAAUGCCUUUGAAAUCCCCUGUUUUGAGACGCUGUUGAUGAUAUUCCACUGCCGGUUCUCCAAGAUAUUUUGCUUGACUUUUAGCUUUAUAAAUACCUAUUUUACCCUUGUAAUCAACCAAUGAAAAGGUUGCUUUUGUAAUAGCUCUUGUAAUUUAGCUUUUUAUUGUCUUUAAAUAGAGGUGAAGAGCCUCAGACACGAUCAUCUUGUAACCUGUAACUUUAUAAGUUAUAAGAGCACUUUUGUUCAUACGCUUCUUUUCUCUUUUCUUUCUCAUUUUCUUAGUAGCCAAACAUCCUUGGAGGAUGAAAUCCCCAAGGAUGAGAGGCUAAAACCUUUUAGUUUCUUGAAGUAAUGGAUGCCAUGUGAAGCUCCCGUGUCAGGAUGGAGAUUUCCAAGCCAUAAAUGUAAGUAGCUGAGCGUCAUAAAUGUUUUCAUUCAAAGUAAAGCUUUUAAUCCCUCUGACUUGCUUUGAAUGGCCAAUACUUGAUAACCUUUUGGUCUCAAUGGAUUCUUAUUGUUAGAUCCACUGACGUUCAUUAGUUAUCUCCUACGAGCCAUUGUAUUGCAAGUCGAGGAGAUGACCUAUACCAAUAAAAGAGCAUUUAUGAGGUUCAACUACCCUUUUUGUAAGUUUUCAAGGACUAAAACUCAGUUGUUAAACUCAUACCGGUUCGAGAAGUAAGCAUCACCUUAGUUGCUUCCCCAACUCGAGGUGAAAAGUCCCAAAAUCUCCAUUUUUACACAGUGAGUUAAGCAUGGCUAUCCAAAGCUUUAAGAAACUUCUUUUUCCAUCUUUUAACCUAUUUUCAUGUUAGUUUAGUUUACAACACCUUCAUCUUUUUAUGUUUUCAUCUUAACCUAAUUUUUAUUAAGAAAAGUUCACUCCAUCCUCCGAACUUCACCAGUUAAAGUAAAAACCCUUCCCAGUGUUCGAUCCUAGAGCCACUAUGCUAUAGUAGCUUUGCUACUUUAGUGUAAGGACCUUAGGUAUAAAUUUUGUUGAUACCCUUACAUGCCAAGCUACCAAGAGUCGGGUUAUCAUUAACCUAACCAUUGGCCUGUGUAAAUUGAUUUCACAUGCACAAUGUUGUAGUAGAAGUCCAUAUUUUGAAUUUUAUUUUUGUAAAGGUAAGGAAAAUGAAGCAUUGUGUAAUUAUAAAAAUAACUUCAUUGGAAUUCACAAGGUUCACCCAAAAUGGAGCUACAUCUGUAUUCUAUCCUACAGUAGACUAUAUAGAUUGUACAAUAGUAAAUUGCAAAUACAAUUAAUAAGUCUUGUGCUUCCUUACUAAUAAUCCUUUGACAUGAACAUUGCAGCACUAAGGUCCUCUUGGGAAGACACCUUGCACCCAUGAGAGCACUAAGAGGAAGCAAGGCAGAGUCAUGGGUGCAAUGUCAUGACUUGUUGUUGCACCAAGAGAGGCUUGGUGAUGCCAUGGUGUUGCAGUAGCAAGAAUGUUGCCUUGGCAGGGACACGAUCUAGGGAUAGAUGCCAAGAAAGGCUUAGCACUCACAUGAGUUGCACAAAGAUGAAUGUAAUAGAGCAUCAGAGAGACGUCUUGGCAAGUAAAUGAAUGGAUCCAAGAGACAACAACAUGAGGAGUUUCAAAUGGAUAAGGAAUGACUCAAAGACAUUUGAAAGCUACAAGUUGGAUUCUAAUUACGAUUGCAAUUUGAGUUUGAGUAGGAGUUUAGAUUUUGAUUGUAAUUGUAGUAUGAGUUGGACUAGGAUUGCUUAUCCUUAGUCAAUAUAGGAGCGGUUCGUGUCACCCUAUGAAAAGAGUUUGAGUAGGGACUAGGAUUGCUUACUCCUAGUCAAAUAUGGAGUAGGUGGUGCCACACCUAUAAAAAAAAGGGACAACAUGAGAGAGAGAGAGAGAGAGAAAGAGAGAGUGAAUUCACUAAAGAUAUUGUGGGAGUUUUGCUUUGUUACGUCUUGUAUUAUUACUUAGAAUAGGAAUAAAAUACAAGUUGGGGCUAGAGCCCCAUAAUUAAUCUCGUGUGCCUUUGUGGUUAUUCUUUAUUUGUCAUCUCGUGUGGAUUGGAUUAGGUUGACUUAGAGGGCUUCUAAGCACCACCUUUGUGGGUUAUUAUUUAUUUUCCAUCUCUUGUGGAUUAGAUUAGGUUGACUUAGAGGGCUUCUGAGCACCACCUUUGUGGGUUAUUAUUUAUUUUCCAUCUAUUGUGGAUUAGAUUAGGUUGACUUAGAGGGCUUUUAAGCACCACAUUUGUGGGUUAUUCUUUAUUUUCCAUAUCGUGUGGGUUGGAUUAGGUUGACAAGGAGAAAAAUUAUGUGGGAAAUUUGUGUUGGGACACUUACCAUAACCAAGUAAAAUCUACCAAGUCCUUUGUAAUAUCUUCAACAAAUAUUUUAGACUAGUUCUUUCAGUUAGUGUAAAGGAGGAAGAAGUGGUAUUGAUUCUAGAAAUAGGGUGUGUGUAUUUGAACUACAAUCCUUAUGAUCCUUAGGUCUCUAAACCUUCGUGAUGGGCUCCCUGACAUUUCAUAGGUUGUGCUACACAUGCGUUUGAAAUUUAGAGUGCGUUUGACAGUGAUUCCGGGAAGUGUUUUUGGCCUUUCUUACACUUGAAAAUUUUUAUUUUUCAAGUAUUAGAAAUGCUACAAACACUUUUGAAAAUUACUGUCAAACACACUCUUAGGAGCGCACAUAUAUAGUAGAAAACUAGAAAUUGUGGUUUUUUUAGGAUUUACUGUAAUGUCAUUAGGAGGGUAGUAAGUUGAAAUUGAGUAUGAACAAAUAUUUCUUUCUUUGGGAUGUUCUUCUAGUAGGUGCUGAUGAAACUGUUCUUUCUACUGCCAAUGUCACAUAUCAGCCAGAAAUUGAAAAUUUCAGUCAAGGUGUCCUCUGUUUUAGUGGUGAGGAAAGCUAGAAAUUUUAAGGUGAAGUUUUGUUAAAAACCUUAAGUAGCUGGGAUAUCAGGCCUGUUUUGCUUGAAAAAAAAAGUUGCAAGAUAACUCAUAUGCCAAACAGGUUCUGAUAUUGUGAAUCUAUCGGCAGACAUCAGUAAUCUCAUCUUCUGAGAUGGAUGUUGGGGGUGCAUGUGGUGGUGGAGGGGCAAGGUUUCAUUUGGUUUAUUUUGUUGAUGGAUAUUGUCUAGCCACCUGCGCCAAGUUUGAGGGGUGGUGGGUUGUGAUGACCCUACAAUUACUAUUAAUUUCUUCAUCUUUUACCGAUUAAAGUGUCCGAACAGUCGAAGUUACCCUUAUGCAUGUCAACUUGAUCACUUACCUCUUCAAUGGAGUUUAUGCUGGUUCAUUUAGGAACUGAUUUUUAUUGUUAUGUAUUAUAUGCUGAUGUUUAGGUCUCUCCAUCAUCACUAUAUACAAAAAUUCUAGGUUGAUACUAUAGGUUGAGAUUUAUUUUUUAAAUAAAAAAUAAUAAAAAUAAAAAUUAUGGUGAUGUUUAGUUGUUUUAUGGAAAAUUUUAACAAGUAAAAGUUAUUUUUGGGCAAGUUUUCAAACAAAAAGAAAAGUAAAAGUUGUUUUGACAAAAACAUAUAGAAAAAAAAAUCAUAGAAAAUAAAUAAUUUCCCCAUAUUCUAACUUUUUUGAAUUUUUCUCAAUGGGCAAAGGAAUAUCAAAUCAAGUUUGAGUAGGAUUUCUUAAUUUUUAAAAUAACUUACAAUUAAAAAAUUUUGGUGUUUUCAUUUUUGGACAAUUUUUUAUUAAGCAAAUGGACUCUGAGUCAUGCAAGAGAUAUGGUUCAUUAACCGGUCGAACAAUUUUUUUAAAUUAAUUUAAAAGUCAAAUACAUAAUCAAUUUCACAAAAUUUAUAAACAAAAAUAGGUUUAGAGAAGAUCUACACAUAAUUUUACUUUUCUAAUUUUAUUUUAUUUUAUUUUUUGUUGGAAAAUAGUCUUCAAAUCAUGUAAGAUUUAAUAGGUUAAAUUUGUUAACAAUAAAUUUUAAAUUAUAAAAUAUAAUCUGGAACUCAAAAAUCAAUUCAAGUAAUGCUAAAAAAAAAUCAAAUUUGGUAUAGAAUGACUUUGUAAAUUUUUUUACAAAACAAAUGAAUUUUAAAUCAAGUGAGAUUUAAUGCAUUAGAUUUUUAUCAAAUAUAGUAAUUUUAAAAAUAAAUUUGGAACUCAACAAUAGACACAAUAAAUACCAAAAAAUAAUGAACCAAAAUUGGUUUGGAAUAACUCCACAACCUUUUUUUUUUUUUUUUGGUGCACACGAAUUUUCUUACUAGGUAUAUUGCUUUCAAAUUGAGAAAGAUUUACCAUUUAGAUUUUUUUUUAAUGAGUUUAAUGGUAUUUUAAAAUAAUUCAAAAUUUAAAAAAUUGACUAAUUAAUAUUAUAAAUUGAUAAACCAAGACUAUUUCAAAAUGCAUUGGGGGCUAAGGGGGUUGAAAAUAGGGACAAUGGGAUGGGUUUGGGACAUGACACUCAUAUCUCAUUUCCAUUCCAAUUACACAGUUAUCUCCCAUCCUUAUCCCAAACUUGUGUUGGAGCAAGUUGAUUUGUUCCCAUCUUUGUUGACGAAAUGACUAAUAACCUCAUCCCCUCCUUAUCUUAGAUGUACAUUUUGUCAAAUUUGAUCAGGUAUGAUUGAUCCAAGCCCUAACCCUAAUUGGUAAUGAGUGAAUACUACACCUAAUUGCAUUCUUCUUUCAUUGCAAAAUAAUGAGAUUAUAAUAAUCUAGCAAAUAAGAAAAAAUAGUAUGGAAGUUCAAAUUAACACCAUAACUAUCAAUAAUUUUAAGCUUAUAGAUGACUUAAAUGAUUAAAAACUAAUGCAAAAUCCUAAAAAAAAUAAAAAUCAUAUAAAGAAUUCACAAGAGAACAGAAUGAACAAAAACCAAAUAUGAACAUGGGUCAACAUUAGUUAUGGAUUUGGAUUCCUUUCAAGGCCAAUCUUUGAACCAAGACUUCAUCAAAUCAACUACUUCAAAGGCUUUUGUGUUCUUCUUGGGUUGUGCUCUCAAACAAAGACUUCGAGGUGAUGUUCUAGAUGAUUGAAUUACACAUAUUUAGGGUGGAGAGAUUGGAGAAGCUUGAAGAUGCCAACGAUGGGUACAAUUGAGUGGUCAAUAAGAACAAUGUAGCCUAUGACUAGUUUGAUGUCAUGGUACAAGAGUUUUAGGCAUUGAGGUUAAAGCAAGAGCAACAUGGAAUUGAUUUCGGAGUCUUUCAGUUAGUGUAAAGGAGGAAGAAGUGGUGUUGAUUCUAGAAAUAGGGUUUUAAGUGGUGCGUGAUUACUACUCAAAAAGUGCUAUUUGAUAGCCUUUAAUUAAUCCUUUUUAACACUUUUGAGUAGUAGUUUAGGCCUUUUAACUCAAUUGGCAUGUUAAGGAUCCUUUAAAGCAAUUUUGAUCACUUUGUGCAAGUUUUGGUGUUUUUGUUAGUAUUUUGAUCACCAAAGCAAGUCAAGAAUGAGGAGAACUAUGAGGAAUCAUGGGCAAAGCUUAGAAUUCAAUUGCCAAGAGUGAAUCCGGAUUGCAAGGAGAAAAAGCAAAGAGAAUCUGUCAUGAAGCCUAUUCUUGAUGACAGUCGUAGCAGCCACUUUUGGAGCACUUUCUGAAGUCCAAAUGAUGCAAGCUAUAUACCAUUUCAAAGAUCAGGAAGUCAACAAUCCAAUGCUUCAAACGGUGCGCGAUUCGGAGUUGAAACGAAGAAGUUGCAGCCAUUACAAGCCAGUCACUCUAAAGUGUUGCGGAAUCAGCCUUUUGUUGCGAGAAUUUCGCAGCACUUUUGUACAGUAAGGUGUUUCUCCUUCUGACGAUGCACGAACCAUGCCGCGAGAGGGAAGCUAGGAACUUCAAGAUGGAAGCCAACUUUGCAGCCUGGUGAAGAUAGCUUGGUCUUGCGAAAUAAUUUCGCAGCCCUCUUGGGUGUCUGCGAAAUUUCGCAGGCACCACUUUUUUCCUGCGAAAUGGCUCCGGAAGCCUCCCGAAGCUUGCUACCGACAUUGGGAGAUAUUUUCCAUUAGAUUUUUGUUGUCUAAAUUCCAAAAUACUCCUUGUAAACCACCAAUUACAUGAUUCCUUAGUUUUUAAGUUAGUAAAAAGACCAAAUAUCUAUGUAAUAAUUAGUUUUAUAUUAGUUUGCUAUAAAUACCUCUCGGGAGCAUGUUCUCAGAGAGGAGUUCCUUCUGUAACCAUUUUGGUAAGCAAGUAAAGUCUUUUCUUUCUACUGCCUUACCUUCUCACUUUGUAUUUUCAUUUUAUUUCUAAGUUAUGAAUUCUCUGAGGAGCUUUCCCCAGAGAAUGAGUAACUAAACCUCCAAUUCCUUGGAGCUAAGGUUGCCGGGGAAGGUUCCAAGUGCAAGAAUGCAAAGCUCUGUGGUUUUAGCUAGUAAUGAAGAGGAAGUGAAAUCCUUUAGUGAUUUCAAUGUUUUUAGUUAACUUAAAACACCUUGGAGUCACCUGGGCCAACACUUGGUAAGGCAAGUGAUUUCCAACCGUGGAAAUGCACUAGUUUACCCCUUGCGAGCCUCUGGUAGGUGACUUCAAGGUAGGAUUUUCUGGAAUUACCAACACUUGGUAAGCUUUUGGACUCCUAGGAGACAUCCAUUAGUUAUCUCUUGCGAGUUUGUGAAGGGGAAUCCAAGGUUAAAGAUCACCUUGAAUGGUAAGUGCUCGUGAGAGGCAUGAACCAUUGCAAGUUGUAUCAGUGAGAGAAUUAAAGUGAAAUCUAAUUGAAGGAGUCUCUGUACAUCACCGGUUAGAGAAUUGACUAUAAGUUGAAUCUCUAAUGCGAGGAAAUGAACCAUCUGACCGGAGCUAUGUCUUUUGCAUGAGGAACCACCCCAGUGAACCUAAAUCUCCAAGGAAUGCUUUUCUUCCUAAAUUAUUCCAAACUUCUGUUAAGUUAGUUAGUUUAAGUCUAAACCUUUACCAAUCAAACUUUGUGUUUUAUUUCUUAAGCUAACCGUGAAAUGAAACAAAACCAAUUCACUUGGAAUUGGUAUCCUUGAUUGCUUGCAAAUCAUUCCCAGUGAACGAUCCUUAGAGCCACUAUACUAUAGUAGCUUUGUAUUUGCUACCCUAGUGUAUGGUGUUAUAGGUAUAAAUUUUGUUGAUCACUUCCUCAAUCAAGGAACACCAGCUGAACACAAAUCAGCUGAGACACCAAUUGGGCAUGAGUCAAAUGGCGCCGUUGCCGGGGAAUGAGUGUCAAGAUCAUUGUGAUACCAUUUUUGAGCACUUGUGAUUUUCAUCACAAGUUGGUAAAGUUUCUUUCACUUUACUAAUUUUCAUUCUCUCUUUGUUUAUUUACAAUCUAAGUUUAUCUUUUUAAAAUUUAGUCUAGUUUAAUUUUGCUAUUGUAGCCUUGUUUCUCUUGUUGUCCUCUGUUCUUGUUGUCCUCUGUUUUCAUUUUAGUUGCAGCUGAAUACUAGUUGUGUAUGCCAAAGUGGAUACGAGACAUUGGAGGUAGGCUUAUUAAGUGUGAUACACCUCAGAGAGGAGAAUUGGAAGUAAUCUUGAAUAUCAUGGAGGCUGCACCUGAAGAUCAGCAUAGUCACCAAGGUCGUCAAGACAAUCUCAAUGAAUUCAGAUCAAUGAGGGACCGUAUGCAUCCACCUCGUAUGAGUGCACCAUCAUGUAUAGUGCCCCCUACAGAGCAACUAGUGAUCAGACCAUAUCUUGUUCCACUUCUACCAACUUUCCAUGGGAUGGAAAGUGAGAAUCCGUAUGCACACAUCAAGGAAUUUGAAGAUGUUUGUAAUACAUUCCAAGAGGGAGGAGCUUCAAUUGAUUUGAUGAGGCUUAAGUUAUUUCCUUUUAAUUUAAAGGAUAAGGCCAAAAUUUGGCUUAAUUCUUUAAGGCCAAGGAGUAUCCGCUCUUGGACUGAUUUACAAGCUGAAUUCCUCAAGAAAUUUUUUCCUACUCAUAGAACAAAUGGCUUGAAAAGGCAAAUUUCAAACUUCUCAGCUAAAGAGAAUGAGAAAUUCUAUGAGUGUUGGGAAAGAUACAUGGAAGCUAUAAAUGCUUGUCCUCACCAUGGCUUUGAUACUUGGCUACUGGUGAGUUAUUUUUAUGAUGGUAUGUCCUCCUCAAUGAAGCAACUCCUCGAGAAAAUGUGUGGAGAAGAUUUCAUGAGCAAAAAUCCAGAGGAAGCUAUGGAUUUCUUGAGCUAUGUAGCUGAUGUUUCAAGGGGAUGGGAUGAACCAACUAAAGGAGAAGUGGGAAAGAUGAAGUCUCAGUUGAAUGCUUACAAUGCAAAGGCUGGGAUGUAUACUUUAAAAGAGGAUGAUGACAUGAAAGCAAAGUUGGCAGCUAUGACAAGAAGAUUGGAGGAGCUGGAGCUGAAAAGAAUGCAUGAAGUGCAAGCUGUUGCUGAAGCACCAGUGCAAGUGAAGUUGUGUCCCAAUUGUCAAUCGUUUGAACAUUUGGUAGAGGAAUGCCCUGCAAUUUCAGCUGAAAGGGAAAUGUAUAGAGAUCAAGCAAAUGUUGUUGGACAAUUCAGGCCCAAUAACAAUGCUCCUUAUGGAAAUACCUACAAUUCAAGUUGGAGGAAUCAUCCAAAUUUUUCAUGGAAGGCCAGAGCAACUCAAUACCAACAGCCGGAUCCACCAUCUCAACAAUCUUCAAGUAUUGAACAAAUAAUAGCUAAUCUCAGCAAGGUAGUGGGAGAUUUUGUGGGAAAGCAAGAAGCCACCAAUGCUCGAGUGGAUCAAAGAAUGGACAGAGUGGAUCAAAGAAUGGACAGAAUGGAGAGUAUGUUGAACAAAAGAAUGGAUGGAAUGCAAAAUGAUAUGAAUCAAAAAUUUGAUAACAUCCAAUAUUCAAUUUCAAGGCUUACAAAUUUGAAUACACUGCAAGAAAAGGGAAGAUUUCCUUCUCAACCUAACCAAAAUCCCAAAGGUGUCCAUGAAGUGGAAAGCCAUGAGGGAGAAUCAUCACAGGUGAAAGAUGUGAAAGCUUUGAUCACUCUAAGGAGUGGUAAGAAAAUUGAGCAGCCAACACCCAAGCCACAUGUUGAGAAAGAAGAAGAGAUGAAGAAAGGGAAGGAAAUGGAAGAUAAAGGCAGUGAGAUCAGUGAAGAAAAGAAGGACUCUGAUGCAACAAUGAAAGUAAUUCCAGAGAAGGAGCUUCUGAAGGAAGAAAUGCUGAAGAAAUCAACUUUUCCACCUUUUCCUCAAGCAUUACAGGGGAAAAAGGGGGUUAGAAAUGCAGCUGAAAUCCUAGAAGUAUUGAGGCAAGUGAAAGUUAAUAUUCCACUGCUGGAUAUGAUCAAACAAGUUCCAACGUAUGCAAAAUUCCUAAAGGACUUGUGUACUAUCAAAAGAGGGUUGACUGUAAACAAGAAAGCCUUCUUGACUGAGCAAGUAAGUGCAAUCUUACAGUGUAAGUCUCCUUUGAAGUACAAAGACCCUGGAAGUCCUACCAUUUCAGUCAUGAUUGGAGGAAAGGUAGUGGAGAAAGCCUUGCUAGACUUGGGAGCAAGUGUGAAUUUGCUUCCAUAUUCUGUCUACAAGCAACUGGGACUUGGAGAGUUGAAGCCAACAGCAAUCACUUUGUCUCUGGCAGAUAGAUCAGUGAAAAUUCCAAGAGGGGUAAUUGAGGAUGUAUUGGUUCAAGUAGAUAAUUUCUACUAUCCUGUAGAUUUUGUUGUUCUUGAUACAGAUCCUACUGUAAAGGAAGCUAAUUUAGUUCCUAUCAUCCUUGGAAGGCCAUUUCUUGCAACUUCAAAUGCAAUCAUCAACUGUAGAAAUGGGCUUAUGCAACUCACUUUUGGUAACAUGACACUGGAUCUAAAUAUUUUCUAUAUGUCUAAAAAGCAAAUCACUCCAGAAGAAGAAGAGGGUCCAGAAGAGCUAUGUAUUAUUGAUACUUUGGUGGAGGAGCACUGCAAUCAACAUAUGCAAGAUAAGUUGAAUGAAAGUUUUGUGGAUAUUGAGGAAGGUUUUUCUGAAUCUCCUAAUGGGCUUGCUACUCUACAAAGUUGGAGAAAGAUAGAAGGAAUUCUACCUUUGUUCAAUGAAGAAGAGGAGGCAGCUGUUGAAAAAGAAAUUCCAAAACUCAAUCUGAAGCCUUUACCUAUGGAGCUGAAAUAUACAUAUCUUGAAGAAAAUAAUCAAUGUCCUGUCGUAAUAUCUUCAUCUCAAACCAAGUCUCAAGUGAAGGAUGCAAGCUUCAAAUGGGAUCCGGGCAAACUGAAUCAGGAAGGGCAAAAAGUUUUGAUGUAUGACACAAGACUCCAUAUCUUUCCUGGGAAGCUCAAGUCAAGGUGGAUUGGUCCAUUUGUUAUUCACCGAGUAUAUUCCAAUGGAGUGGUGGACUUAUUGAAUUCCAAUGGCAAGGACAGCUUUAGAGUCAAUGGAUAUCGUCUUAAGCCGUUCAUGGAGUCAUUCAAAUCAGAAAAGGAGGCAAUCAACCUCCUUGAACCUCAAAAAGCCUAAGUGAAAUGGGUUUGCUGGACGUGGUUUUACCACAGUCCAAAAAUUUUUGUAAAUUUUGUAAAUUUUCAAGUUGUUUCCAUGCUUUUAAUCUUAGUUUUUGAUUUUAAAUCAUGUUUUUAGGUGUGUUUUAAUCGUUUUAUAUGAUCCCAGGCGGAAGAAAUUUCAAGGGGAUUGAAAAGAAAAAAAUCGGGUCGAAAUUGGAGCCGAAACAGAGCAAAAACAGGGGAAAAACAGAGCUCUGCGAAAUUUCGCAGGGUGAAGGAAACUUCUGCGAAAUUGGCAUUUUGCUGCCAAACCAUUCCGCAGCACUGUAGAAGCCUCUGCGAGUGUAUUUCGCAAUUGCGAAAGUGGAUUUGGCACACGAGUGCCACUUCGCAGCACAGUGACAUCAAUUUCGCAGCUGCGAAACUCACUGCGAAGUUGCUGCGAAAAUGGCAAGUUGCUGCGAAAUUGGCGUUUUGUUGCGAAACGUAAUCUGACCCCUGGGCUUCCGUUUUUCCUAUUUAUACCUGUCAAAAGUGCUGCGAAAAAGGUUUCAAAAAUUAGAGCACCAUUCUCGCAGCCCUUUCAUCUUCUUCGCCAAGCCACGCCGUCCGUUUCUCCGGUCGUCUUCUCCGUUUAGCAGCGCCGGCCAAAGAUCGAUAGCCCAAAAAUGGCACGAACGCGAGGGGCAAAGUCUUCAUCCCCUUCGAACCGCAAAAGGAGUCUGCGAAAGGAGCCAAGUUCAGGCUCUGUUCCAGAACCUGCUCCAAAGCCUUCGCCGUCGAGACCACAACCUUCUCCAGUGAAGCCGGCGCCACCAAAGCCGCCGGCAAGGCGAUAUUUAACCAGGUCAGGUGGUCAGCCAUUGAAGAAGAAAGCCAGAGUUGAGAGCUCUGAACCAAUCGAUUUGACUGAGCAAUCCCCUGAGAAAUCACCAAAUCCUUCACCGGUACAAAUUCCAGUGCCAUCACCGGUUCCCUCGCCAAUUCCCUCACCAGAAGCAACUCCAAUUCCAUCGCCGGUACCAUCUCCGGCACCCCAAGAAAAAGCUCAGGAGCCUCAAGCGCCAAUUCCAGAGCCCCAAAUUGCAGCUGAAGCACCUCUGGAAGAAGUGAUCCGAAGGCCAAUGCUGCCUCAGCCCCCAAUCGAAGGAAACCUGGAUUGCCGAACUCGGGCAUUCCAUUCUGAGCUUUGCUUCGAUUUAACAGCAUUCAGAGUGAGGCCAGAGCUUGCCCAAUCCUUCCAACUGCUGAGGAGAUAUCAUAUGGAGCAUCUGCUAGCUCCAAGGGAUUUUUUCUAUCCCCGGGUAGUCACGGAUUUCUACCAAACCAUGACAACCAAAGAAGUAAGAAAUCCAACUCUGAUUCAUUUCAUAAUUGAUGGAAGGCAUGGUAUUUUGGGAGCAAGACAUAUUGCUGAAGCCCUGCAAAUUCCUUUUGAGCCAACUCAAUUCGACAAUUUUAAAGCUUGGACAAAUCCUACUGAGUUAGAGAUGGUUAGCACACUAACCAGAGGAGCUGCAAAUCGAUCGCAUUUGUUGAGGGGGGAGCUACCUCCAGUUAUGUUUUUGAUUGAUGCCUUUUUGAGGCAUAAUAUCUAUCCCCUGCAGCAUUGGACCCAAAGAAGGGGAAUUCUCCUAGAAGCCUUGUACAAAAUGUCUGAAGGAUUCUUCUUUGGGCCUCAUCAUCUGAUCAUGGCAGCCCUUCUAUACUUUGAGGAGAAGGUUCACAAGAAGAAGCUUCAAAGAGCAGAUUGCAUUCCACUCCUCUUCCCAAGGCUGCUAUGCCAAGUUUUGGAGCAUCUCGGAUACCCCUCUGAGCCUCAGCAGGAAAGAAAGAGAAUAUGCCGUGAGCCUUUUACCCUUGAUAAAUGGAAUAAUAUGACGGCCUACAAAAUUGAUCAGCCUGGGCAGCCUCAGCCAGCAGCAAGGAGAGUCUCCCCAAGACAUAUACCUGAAGGUAUAACACUUGCUACUCCUGCCAUCCCUCGAGCUCCACCAGCUGCACCUGCUCCAUCACAGCCAUCCACAUCAGCUGAGCCGAGGAUGGCCAUCCCUAUAUCCGAAUAUCGAGAGCUGUGCCGUGCAUUGGAGACUCUUACAGCUUCUCAGAGCAAUCUUGCUCAGGAGUUGGCAGCCAUUAAAGCAUGCCAGGAGCAGAUGUUAGCCUCUCAGACUCAACAAGCUGCCAUCCUAAGGCAGCUUCAAGUCCAUUUCGAUCUGCCACAAGCUGUAGAGCCCUCUAUUCCUACUCCACCAGAGCCACACUCUCAGCCUUCAGAGUCUCAUCCUCCAGAACCCGAAGCACCAGCUGAUCCACCUACUGAGGAGGCAGAUCCUUCUGCCUAGCACCAUCACCCCCCUCAUCAGACAUUAUAUAUAUAUUUGCUGUUUAUGUUUUUAUGCAUGUUUGUUUUGUUUUAGUUGAAAAGAAAUCCCAGUAUUUUGGUACUAUAUAUGGGAUUCCUUGUGUUACUUGUCUUUAGUAUUGUAAUCACAUGAACUCAAAGUAAUACAAGUUGACUAUUUCUUGUUAAAAGUUAGCAUUAAAGUUUCCUUAUUUCCUUUUCUCACAUAUUCUAUUCUUUUUGAAACAUGUGGUUUUCCCCAAUCAAUAUUCGAAUUUGAUAUCAGCAUGGAGGUACCACUUCCUCCCUUUUAUUACAGUCACUCAAAUCACAUUGAGGACAAUGCUCAGUUCGGUUGGGGGGUAUGAGGAAGGAAGUAUUCUAAACCUUUUUGGUAUUGCAAUUAUAUUGGUUAAUUAGUUGUAGAUUUUACUUUUUACUAGUGUUACUCUAUUCUCCAUGAAUUUUGAGGAAAAAUUUUCAAAUUAAACCAAGAGAAAUUGAACUGUUGUUUUUCACUUGACUUAGAGUAUGGAUUAUGCUUACUAAAGUGGUUCAAUUGUUGAAACUUCUACUGAAAUUGAAUUGAGUUCUUCCACUUUAAGCUAUCCACACACUGUGCACAUUAGUUUCCGAUUAUAAGAUGAAAAGCUAUUUCCCUCUUGACUUAGUAUAUUUUUGGGACUUGGUAUAUUUGACCUCAUUUGAUAAAAAUUGAAACACCCUGCAAAAGGCCAAUGAGCCUUUGAAAUAAAGAAAGUUGUUUGCUUGCCUUGAAACCCGAGCAAGGUCUGAGGGGUAUAUGGUGAAAAUCUUUAAAGCCUGGUGCCCUAAGCCUUAAUUGGUUGGGAGUCACCGACCUCAAUGCUCGUUACAAGGGUGAAUAGGUAGAGUUAGCAUAUGGUAGAUGCUUGGGUAUUAGAAAUUCAUUCUUAAAAGUCCGGGGAAAAAUCCGAGGAGUUAGUGGUUGAAAGAUCCUUAAAACUUGGUGCCCUAAACCUUAAUUGGUUGGGAGUCAUCGAUGGACCCCCAUUACAUGGACAAGUCAGAAAGAGUACCCCAUAAAGCUACCUUAAAAAAAAAAAAAAAAAAAAAAAAAAAAAAAAAGAUGAAAGUGUGUUCUUUUCUUAUUGAUUUUGGUCAGUUUGCUAAAGUGUUGAAAAGAGAUAGGUUGGGGGGUGAGAUUAGUAGCAUAUUAUUCUCGGAACCUAAGGAACCAAUACACAUAGAUUUUUGUGGAAGAUUGAAGUUUAGUUCUUAGAAAAUGAAAUGAUUUUAAAACUUCAGUUUGCAUAAUGCACUCCCUUGAUUGACAGUGUUUAGCAUAGGUGUUAUGACUCUUGUUGAGAUUUGGGUUUGUAUUUCUUUAAUGAUUCAUGUGAGAAAUAGAUCAUCAUGCCACUUGAGAAUUAUUUUCCUUUUAGCAUGAUGUUGUAAAUUUUAGAUUAGUUUGCUAUUUAUUUUUUAUUUUCUCUCCUAUAUUGCUAAGGGACUAGCAAUAUGUCGGUUGGGGGGAGUGAUUACUACUCAAAAAGUGCUAUUUGAUAGCCUUUAAUUAAUCCUUUUUAACACUUUUGAGUAGUAGUUUAGGCCUUUUAACUCAAUUGGCAUGUUAAGGAUCCUUUAAAGCAAUUUUGAUCACUUUGUGCAAGUUUUGGUGUUUUUGUUAGUAUUUUGAUCACCAAAGCAAGUCAAGAAUGAGGAGAACUAUGAGGAAUCAUGGGCAAAGCUUAGAAUUCAAUUGCCAAGAGUGAAUCCGGAUUGCAAGGAGAAAAAGCAAAGAGAAUCUGUCAUGAAGCCUAUUCUUGAUGACAGUCGUAGCAGCCACUUUUGGAGCACUUUCUGAAGUCCAAAUGAUGCAAGCUAUAUACCAUUUCAAAGCUCAGGAAGUCAACAAUCCAAUGCUUCAAACGGUGCGCGAUUCGGAGUUGAAACGAAGAAGUUGCAGCCAUUACAAGCCAGUCACUCUAAAGUGUUGCGGAAUCAGCCUUUUGUUGCGAGAAUUUCGCAGCACUUUUGUACAGUAAGGUGUUUCUCCUUCUGACGAUGCACGAACCAUGCCGCGAGAGGGAAGCUAGGAACUUCAAGAUGGAAGCCAACUUUGCAGCCUGGUGAAGAUAGCUUGGUCUUGCGAAAUAAUUUCGCAGCCCUCUUGGGUGUCUGCGAAAUUUCGCAGGCACCACUUUUUUCCUGCGAAAUGGCUCCGGAAGCCUCCCGAAGCUUGCUACCGACAUUGGGAGAUAUUUUCCAUUAGAUUUUUGUUGUCUAAAUUCCAAAAUACUCCUUGUAAACCACCAAUUACAUGAUUCCUUAGUUUUUAAGUUAGUAAAAAGACCAAAUAUCUAUGUAAUAAUUAGUUUUAUAUUAGUUUGCUAUAAAUACCUCUCGGGAGCAUGUUCUCAGAGAGGAGUUCCUUCUGUAACCAUUUUGGUAAGCAAGUAAAGUCUUUUCUUUCUACUGCCUUACCUUCUCACUUUGUAUUUUCAUUUUAUUUCUAAGUUAUGAAUUCUCUGAGGAGCUUUCCCCAGAGAAUGAGUAACUAAACCUCCAAUUCCUUGGAGCUAAGGUUGCCGGGGAAGGUUCCAAGUGCAAGAAUGCAAAGCUCUGUGGUUUUAGCUAGUAAUGAAGAGGAAGUGAAAUCCUUUAGUGAUUUCAAUGUUUUUAGUUAACUUAAAACACCUUGGAGUCACCUGGGCCAACACUUGGUAAGGCAAGUGAUUUCCAACCGUGGAAAUGCACUAGUUUACCCCUUGCGAGCCUCUGGUAGGUGACUUCAAGGUAGGAUUUUCUGGAAUUACCAACACUUGGUAAGCUUUUGGACUCCUAGGAGACAUCCAUUAGUUAUCUCUUGCGAGUUUGUGAAGGGGAAUCCAAGGUUAAAGAUCACCUUGAAUGGUAAGUGCUCGUGAGAGGCAUGAACCAUUGCAAGUUGUAUCAGUGAGAGAAUUAAAGUGAAAUCUAAUUGAAGGAGUCUCUGUACAUCACCGGUUAGAGAAUUGACUAUAAGUUGAAUCUCUAAUGCGAGGAAAUGAACCAUCUGACCGGAGCUAUGUCUUUUGCAUGAGGAACCACCCCAGUGAACCUAAAUCUCCAAGGAAUGCUUUUCUUCCUAAAUUAUUCCAAACUUCUGUUAAGUUAGUUAGUUUAAGUCUAAACCUUUACCAAUCAAACUUUGUGUUUUAUUCCUUAAGCUAACCGUGAAAUGAAACAAAACCAAUUCACUUGGAAUUGGUAUCCUUGAUUGCUUGCAAAUCAUUCCCAGUGAACGAUCCUUAGAGCCACUAUACUAUAGUAGCUUUGUAUUUGCUACCCUAGUGUAUGGUGUUAUAGGUAUAAAUUUUGUUGAUCACUUCCUCAAUCAAGGAACACCAGCUGAACACAAAUCAGCUGAGACACCAAUUGGGCAUGAGUCAGUGCGUUAGAGGAUCAAGAAGAAGAAAAAGAAGGAACUGUUGGAAUUAGUAUGAGUGUGAAGAGAAAAGUAUAUAAAUAAGGGGAAGUAAAAGCAAAGUUCAAAAAGCUAUAUUUUUUUAUUGUUGGUGUAUGGUUGCAUGAUUAUCCCUAUAAAUAAUAGGAGUUUUUUGGUAUUCUACUAGUAGUUGAAGCAUAAUUUCAUAAAUUAAUAUUUAGAGCGGGGUGGGGUGAGUUGUGACAAAAUUCAUACCCGUCCCAAACCUUGGUUCAGAUUUUUAAAAUAUUCUCAAACUUAUCAUAUACCCAACUUUUAUAUUUCAUACUUGUCCUAAUAGAGGCACGUUAGGCCGGGUUACUUGAGUAACCUACAUAAUUGUCAUCCCUAGUUGAAAUACACUUUUUGGCAGUGGCCACCAACUGAGCUAGAAGCUUGAUUGAUUGACCUACAAGAUUAGUUCUCAUCAUUUUAAAAAAAGUUCUGGCUUUGGUUGUGAGUGCAAUUGAAUCUAAACUGGCAUUUGCUUAAUGCAUCUACUUCAAUCCUAAACUUCUUACUUCUUAAGCCUCAAUUGUUGUUAGGAUUUUGGAAAACCCAUUUCCUUAAAUUGUAAAUUUAAGAUAAAAUAAAAUAAAAGUGAGACAUUUCUUGAUUGAAUAUUGUUAAAGGUCCCUUGGCAUUAAGACUUGGUUGAAGCCUUGGAAGAUUAGUGGAACUCUCAACAUGUGUUUGAAUCUUGAGGAGAGUGGAUGUAAGCCAAAAUUUUGUCAAACCAUUAUACAAAUUGAGUUUGAAUCCUCAUUUCUUGAUUUCUUAUUUAUUUGCUUUUUCUUAUUAUUACUUGAAUUGUCAUUUGCAUUCAUUAAUGUUAAAAUUGGUUAUAAUUAACCAACACUAAUUCUCUUUCCCCUUCCCUUUCUUGGGUGUAAACCUAGGUUGGAUUAACUAGAUAAAUCUAUUAAGAUGGUAAAAGAAUAAUUAUUCUUAACAUACAUAAGAUCAUCUUCAAUCAAAUGACUCAUUGGCUAAUAUGUUGAAUUUGCUUAUUACUUGCAACUCAAAAUUGUGUUCUAGUUGUGUCAAGUCCCCAGUGUAUGGACAUUAAAUUUGUAGUACGUGAUGAGUAAUUAGAUGGUCCAACUCCAAGAAAGUGAUUGAAAAGUAGUUCAAGAAAGGUGCAAAAGGGAAUUGUUUUGGUAUUUUCGUUUUUAUUCUUGAAGGUGGCAGAGCUAAAAUUUGAGAAAUCAAGCAAAACAUACUGAAAUUACAUUGAAAGAAAGAAGAUGGGAGUUAAUGUCUUGCAGUACAUGAUAAGGACUUCAUGCAUGUAGUGUGACCCAUGUCUUGGACUGAUGCCAACUCACGGUUACACUUAUACCCUUGGUUCUCUCUUUACUACCUUGGCUAACCUAGAUCAGGCUAUGAGAUAGGCUCCUCACCACACCAUUACUUGCCCAUUAAUUAGAGACAUUUUCAAGCAAUGAGGUAACAUGGUGACACCAAGAGGGUCUAUUCCUCGCCCGGAACAAGUCUAGACUUGGUCUCAAAAAAAUGGAGAAAAAUGAGGUGUCGUUAUGUAGAAAUACAACAACCAUGCCUUCCUCAUUACUUAGAUUCAGAAUGUGAAGGUGAAAUUGAGAAACAGAAACUCUUGAAACCAAAAUGAAAAUUGAUACUUUUACGAAGAAUUACAACAACAUUAGAGGAAGACUACAUUCUUCCUCUUUAUUCCUACAUUUCUACACUACUUCUACUCCACUCCAUAUUUCUACAUACAUCUUUAAUCAGUCUUCCCUCCUUUAUAUAGAGCCAUCUUCACACAAAUUUCGCAAGGUAGAAAAGAGGAAUGAAACUUGGAGCAAGGUUCGACUACUGGUUGUAGCUUGUCAAGGCUGGAAGUGAACUUUUCUUGGCUUUCUGGGCAUGGGUAGUAACUUGUGGGUUCCUGUUUGGCAUAAAAAUGGCUAGAACAUGUGGCACUAUCUUGUUGGAUGAUGUGUCAAGCAUGUGGCAGCCAUCUAGUGGCGAUUAUGUCAAUUUUGGGAUGGAGAGUUGGCAUCCAAUUGCAAAGAAAUAUGACGUCUACCAACAUGCAAUGUAAACCUAUGUAGAUCAUAUGAAGAUAGAGAGGAAAAAUAUAGAAAUGGAUAUAUACCUAGAACUAGCUUUUUAUUAAAUGAAACGGAGAGACAACAAUGAAGGAAAAUAAAAUUUUUUGGCUUAUAUCAAAGAGUUCACAUUGUGUUACCCUAGGUUUUCUUAAAACUUACUUUUAUGAUAACAAAAAAGAAAAAACCAUUAUUGUUUAAUCCUUUGUUUUAAACGCAUGUAAGGUGUAAUUAAGUUAGUUCAAUGCAUUAAUUUAAGAAACUUGACCUAUCAAAAGUACAAAAUUAGAUGAAAUCCAUUUCAAUGGUUAAAAUGAUCAAAAUCAAACUUUUUCUAAGUAUUUUUUAAAAGCAUCAAUAGUGAAAGACAAUUUUAUAUUUAGUCGGAGUUUGGACAAAACUGAAAAACACACAAAAUCCAAGCGACCAUCUCUAGCUUGGAUGGUCGCUUGAUCCCACCUAGAGAUGUGCAUGAGUAAAAGGAUUUGAAAAUGGAAAUUGACUAUGUAGUCGAUCAAUUAACUUUGCAACAUCAUAUGCAAUCCUAAUUGCUAGUCAUCUAAUCAAUUAGGUAGUCAAUCAACAGGCCAAAAAUAUGUUUAUAAUGACUAUUUUGUACAAAAACCACCUGUAUAGUUAAAUAUAAUGCAUUUCAUUUAUAAAUCUUCUAAUUCUUGAAUAACGAUCCUAUCAUCCUUUGAAAGUUUUUAUUACACUUUUUUUACUUUUGUUCUAAAACUUACACAUCACCCUUAAUUGUACCAUGAGAACCUAGCUAUUUUUUAUUUUUUUUUUUGUAAUUCAUCAAAGUUAGCUUUUGUAUUCAUUGUUGUAUUAUUUUUAGUAUAACUUAGAAAGCUAGUGUUUUCAAGUGAGUAAAAUUAACUUGUAAAUAUUGUAAAGAUUCAUCGACAUGUAUCUUAAACUAAGUGUACAAGUUAAAACAUUUGCUAGUAGAUUUUCUCAAAAUUUAGAAUAGAGCUUGAGACUAUUGAAAUAGGUGGGGUUGCACCAAACCACAUCACAUCGUUGUUUGCACCUUUUUUCACUCUCUUUUACUUAGUUGCUCUAUAUUUGUUGUCUAGUAAUAUCCUAUAGGCUUGAUGGGUUAGGGAGCAUCCCUUUGUGAAAAAAUUUUAUUCAAUCCUUAGUUGUAUCACGCAUAUAUAAAAUGCCUCAUUGUUUUAAUGGUAUUCAGUCGUGGCAUCACAGAUAUGGGCAUCUAAAUUUUAAAAGUUUGAAACUUUUAUCUAAAGAAAAUAUGGUGCUUUGCCUUUUUGUAAAGCAUGUUGAUGAAAUCCAUGAGAAUUGUGUACUUGGGAAGCAACACCGAGAUGACUUUUUUUUUUUUUUUAUAAUAUUGUUUGUCCAAAUUCCCUACAAAUUAGGCCACCAGAUGUUCAUAAUUCUCCCUUCUUGAAUUUGAAAACUCGGACAAUUGGACAAUGCGACACCUAAGUCCGGUUUCUAAAUGCUAAAGUGAAAGGGUAGGUAUGGACCAUUGAAAUGUGAUCACAACUUUUCUCUGUAGCCAUGUUGUCUCUUUUUUCUUUUGCAUGAUUUUCUUACCUUAACAGAAUCAUAGACUUGUUUAGUCUCUAAAUGGGAUUAAUUUCAUCCAGCUUUAAGCUACUAUAUUAUAUCUAGGUGGAGGACUUUUAAGAGUGCAACCGACAUAGAGCACAUGGAAGUGGGUAUAUGGGACAUGAAAUUUCUUCUUAUAAAGAUUGCAUGAUUUUUAUAUUAGAGUUGUUGAGGCGCUAUGUAUUUAGCUUGUUUUGCAGUUAAAUUAAUUGGAUAAGUAGACAUUGGCGUUUCUAAAUCUACUGUGAAGUGCUUCAUGUACGUGUGAAGUAUUAGAAAUUUCUUUCUUGGCAACUUGUUUUUCUUUGCGGUCUACUGAUAGGUUUGACUAAAAUUAUAUUCCCUGUCAUGCUAAUUAAUUUUCACGUGCAUGCUCAAAAGAAAAGUAUGACCUUAGUGCACCAAAAUCACUUUGAUUAAUUUGUGAUAGGUUUUUGUGCAUCAUGACAUUAGCCUUAUUCAUUUAGAUAAUGUUUAGUUUUUAGAAAGUAUUAAGAAAAGGAAAAUAAAUAUUAAGAAAAAUAUUCUUAUAUUUGAUUGUAUUAUGAAAAAUAUCAUAAAAAAAUCAAAUAUAAUUUAAAUUAAUUAAUAAUUUAUACAUUUUCAAAUUAUUUAAUCUUUAUAUUGAAGAUAUAAUAUAAAUGAAAUGAGUUUUAAGUAUUAUAUAAAAGUGAUUUAUUGAUCUUACAUAUAUAUAUUUCUUUUUUUUUUCCUUCUAUUUUUUCUCUUUAUUUUAUUUUCCUUAUGUUUUCCUCAACAUUUUCCGGAACCAAACAUAGCCUUAGGAAAUCCACAAUUACCUUCAACUGAGUAGAUUCUGUUGUUUUAGCAAUGUUAGGCUGCUAACUUGUGUUGGUACGAACCUAUUAAGCCUAAAGAUGUAAUUAGUUAGGAUAUUCUUUUCCCUCUAGUCUUGUAGCUCCACGUGUACAGUUGGUUAGGACCUCAUUGUAUAUAAUGCUUGCCCUGUUAUUGUAGAAGACAACAAAGAUAAAUAAUAUUAACAUUUUUCCUCUCAUCUCUCUCUGUUUCCCUCUGUUUUCAUCUCCUCUCUCAUCUUGGUAUCAGAGCCUCCAUGGCUUCUUUCAAAGAAACCUCCGAAUCACCUUCUGCUAGCAUUGUUAAUGUGCAAAACCCAUUAUCUCAAUCAAACAACCUUCCUUCACCAGUAGCCACACCCUCUUUUUCUUUCUCGUCUAUGAAUCAACCUCUCACAGUGAAGCUGGAUAAUGGGAACUACCUCAUAUGGAAGAAUUAGCUUCUAAAUGUCAUCAUUGCUAACGGACUCGAUGAUUUCAUUGACGGAUCUCGACCCUGCCCUCCUCGAUUUCUCGAUCUGCAACAACAAACCCUCAAUCCAGAGUACUCAGCUUGGCAGAGAUACAAUCGACUUCUGAUGAGUUGGCUGUACGCAUCCUUGUCCAAAGAUAUAAUGGCUCAGAUUGUUGGGUAUUCAACAGCUAUGGAGAUUUGGAAUGCCCUUAAUCAGAUUUACUCUGCCUCUUCUAUGGCGCGGUUUACUGAGCUUCGCACCAAGCUUCAAACGCUCAAGAAAGAUGGACUCUCAGUUGGUGAAUAUAUUCAAAGGCUCAAAUCCAUUUGCAAUAGUCUUGCAGCAAUAGGAGAACCAGUUUCUGAGAAAGACCAUCUUAUCUAUUUGUUCAAUGGAUUAGAUUGUGAGUAUUAUUCUUUUGUUACCUCCAUUCAAAAUCGAUCUGACCAACCAACUAUUGACAAAAUCCAUAGCCUAUUGCUUAGCUAUGACUUCCGGCUUGAACAACAAAACUCUGUUUCUCUCCAUUCUGCCCAAGUCCAUAUGGCUCAUCUGAACAAGAAACCUUAUAAAUCAACUCCUCAACCUACAUUCAAUCAUAUUCACAUUCAACCUAGAUACUCUUCUCCACCUUUUAAGCCAACCACUAGUCAAUAUCAACCCAACAUUUUGGGCAAACCACAACCACAACCAUGACAGCCUCAACCUCAAUGGAAACCACAUUUUUCAAUCUAAAAUCAAAAGCCUCAGCGCCAAAUUUGUGGUAAAUUUGGACACACUGCUCUUAUUUGCUUCCAUCACACAAAUUUGAACUAUUCACCCCAACCUUCUCCUAAAUCUUUCAAUACUGUUCUCACCACAAAUUCCCAGCUCCCUAAUCCUCCAAAAUUUUCUUACCCUACAAUGGCUCAUCCUGCUGCUACGCAUAACACGGUUCCCGAUACAAAUUGGUACAUGGACUCAGGUGCUACACAUCACUUUACUCUGGACAUCAACGUGCUUGACACUGUGACACCAUUUAGUGGUUCAGAACAGGUGACAGUUGGGAAUGGUAAGCAACUCUGUAUCUCACAUCUUGGUACUGCAAAACUACCAUCUUCGUAUUCUCCUCCUGUUCUACAUCAGGUAUAUCACACUCCAAAAAUUUCAAAUAAUCUUAUUAGUGUUAAAAAAUUGUGUUCUGAUAAUAAAGUUUUUGUUGAAUUUUAUGCCACUCAUUUUCUUGUCAAGGAUCAGGUUUCGAAGAGAGUUCUCCUUUAGGGUCAACUUGAUAAUGGCUUAUACAAAGUUCAGUCGUCAUGCUCUCCUUCUGCUGUUUCCUUUCCUCCUCAAGUUUUCAUAGCCAACAUCAAGUAUCCAAAUCUGUGGCACAAGAGACUAGGCCACCCAGCUUUAUCUGUUGUUAAUCAAAUCUUGGAUUCUUGUAACAUUGCUCGAACACAGAAAAUUUGUUUUAAUUUUUUAAAUUCUUGUCAAUUAGCAAAGAGCCACAGGCUUCCUUUUUCUCUGUCUCCAUCCAUUGCAGAAAAACCUUUUGAGUUAAUUCAUACAGACCUAUGGGGUCUUUCGCUCGUUCGCUCUAUUUCUGGUGCUCUUUAUUUUUUACUUUUCAUUGAUGAUCAUACUCGUUUUACUUGGUUUUAUUUGCUCAAAACAAAAGAUGAAGCAUAUCCUACUUUUCUCAAGUUUCAAGCUCUCAUUGAAAAUCAAUUUAAUACCAAGAUUAAGGCUGUCCAAUCUGAUUGGGGAGGUGAGUUUCGAUCUCUCUCCAUACCGUUUUCAAAUAUGGGCAUUGUCUAUUGUUUAUCGUGUCCAUACACCUCACAACAGAAUGGGCGAGUUGAGCGAAAAAAUCGCCAUGCGAUUGUCCUUUCUUGCUUGCUCUAUGCCCUUAUCUUAUUGGCCUUAUGCCUUUCAAACUGCCACUUACCUUAUUAAUCGUCUCUCUACCCCUGUGCUGCAUCAUCAAUCCUCUUACUUCGCACUCUAUCACAAACUCCCAACUUAUACUCAUCUUAAGGUCUUUGGUUCCUCUUGUUUUCCGUAUUUGCACCCUUAUAAUACCCAUAAACUCCAAUACAGGUCACUAGAGUGUGCUUUUCUUGGUUACAGUUCACACCACAAAGGUUAUCUAUGUCUUGACAUUCAUUCUAGCAGGGUGUAUAUUUCUCGCCAUGUGAUUUUUAAUGAAGAUUCUUUUCCAUUCAAGAAUUUGAAAUCUUCUCUCUCUCAGUCUAUUUCUUCUUCCUCUUCUUUAUAAGUUCCUCUGUUCAUUCUCUUGCCUCCCCUUUCCCCAUCUCCUCUUAUUUCUUCAUCUAUACCUCAUUCUUUUCCCUCUUCUUCUUCUACCUCUAGUACUUGUUCCCCUCUCGUUGCUCCUACCUCUCUUCCUUCCUCUUCACACUCUGUGUCUCCAUCUAUUCCACCUCCUUCUCCACCUUCUCCGAGUGUGGACCUGCUUGCACCUUGUGUGAAUACAAAUUUACAUACUUCUUCUCGCACUCACAAUAUUCAUCCUAUGGUGACUAGAUCUAAGGUUUGUAUCUAUAAACCUAAGUUGUUGUUGAGUGUCUCCAUAGGUUCUCUCACUAAGCCUACUUCCUUUCUUCAAGCUAUUAAAGAUCCUUCAUGGAAGCAAUCCAUGGAAUUCGAGUUUGCUACCCUUCAACACAACAAGACCUGGCAUUUGGUUCCUUCACCUUCCUCAGGCGAAGUAAUCGGUUGUAAAUGGGUCUAUAAGCUAAAGCUUCAGCCUGAUGGCUAAAUUGAGAGAUACAGCCUGCUUAGUAGCUAAGGGUAUCAUCAAAUUGAAGUAUGGACUACUUCGAAACAUUCAGCCUGAUNNNNNNNNNNNNNNNNNNNNNNNNNNNNNNNNNNNNNNNNNNNNNNNNNNNNNNNNNNNNNNNNNNNNNNNNNNNNNNNNNNNNNNNNNNNNNNNNNNNNAGCUUCAGCCUGAUGGCUAAAUUGAGAGAUACAAGGCCUGCUUAGUAGCUAAGGGUUAUCAUCAAAUUGAAGGUAUUGACUACUUCGAAACAUUCAGCCUGAUUGUCAAGCUUUCUACUAUCUGUAUUGUGCUCAGUCUUACUUUUUCCCAGAAUUGGUGUAUUAGACAGCUGGAUGUUCAUAAUGCCUUCUUACAUGGUGACUUAGCUAAAGACGUUUUCAUGGAACAACUGCCUGGAUUUGUUGAUCCUCUCUAUCCUACUCAUGUCUGCAAGUUGGAUAAGUCUCUCUACUGUCUUAAAUAGUCACCUCGGGCUUGGUAUACUAAGCUGAGUACUUCUCGCUACACUUGGGAUUUGUUACUUCUAAGAAUGACUCUUCCUUAUUUAUUUGUCAUUCGUCUCAUGGGUUACUUCUUGUUCUUGUCUAUGUGGAUGAUAUAAUCGUCAUUGGGAGCCACUCUCCUCAGGUUACUCACCUUAUCCAACAGUUGCAUCAUUAGCUUUCUUUAAAGGAUCUUGGUCCUUUACAUUAUUUUCUGGGCUUGGAGGUUCAUCACACCCCUACUGGUAUUCACCUCAGCCAAGCAAAGUAUAUCACUGAUCUCCUUACCCGGGCGGCUAUGUUGGAUGCCAAGCCAUGUCCCACUCCUAUGUCCUCCAACACAUAUCUCUCUUUUCAUGAUGGAGUGGCUCUUGAAAAUGGUUCAGAUUAUCGAAGUUUUGUUGGUGCCCUUUAGUAUUGUACCAUGACACGCCCAGAUAUAGCUUUUGCAAUAAAUAAAGUGUGUCAAUUCAUGCACCAUCCCUCUAAUGUUCACUGGCAGGCUAUAAAACGUAUUCUCCGGUACUUAAAGGGCACAUCUCAUUUUGGUCUCUUCCUACAGCCUUCCUAUGACUUCAACAUCACUUGCUAUACAAAUGCCGACUGGGCUUCCUGUCCUGAUGACAAGUGUAGCACCAGUGGCUACUGCCUCUUUCUUGCCUCUAAUCUGGUUUCUUGGUCAUCUUCCAAACAAAAAGUGGUCUCCCGCUCCAGCGCCGAAUCAGAGUACCGAGGGGUAGCAAAUGGGGCUGCUGAAAUUGCUUGGACUGAAUCUCUUCUUUGUGAACUUUCCAUUACUCCCCCUCCCCUCAUUCUCUGUGACAAUAUCAGUGCCACGUACUUAGCUGCCAAUCCUAUUUUGCAUGCCCGCACCAAACAUGUGGAAAUCGACUAUCACUUUGUCACGGAACGUGUUCUUCAAUGCUCUCUUUUUGUCCAGUUUACACCUUCUGAUGAUCAACUUGCUGAUUGCAUGACCAAGCCUCUCUCCACCCAACGUUUCAUCACUCUACGCUCCAAGCUCACUGUUCUCACUAGACCAAUGAGCUUGAGGGGGGAUGUUAAGCCUAAAGAUGUAAUUAGUUAGGAUAUUCUUUUCCCUCUAGUCUUGUAGCUCCACGUGUACAGUUGGUUAGGACCUCAUUGUAUAUAAUGCCUGCCCUGUUAUUGUAGAAGACAACAGAGAUAAAUAAUAUUAACAUUUUUCCUCUCAUCUCUCUCUCUGUUUCCCUCUGUUUUCAUCUCCUCUCUCAUCUGAACCAAAUGAUCCAUGUUAACCUUGGCUUGGUUUGAUUUGGCUCUAUCUUAGAGAGCUCAAGGAUCACGUCAACUCUGGUUUCUACUAUUCAGGUCCAUUCCCAUAUGAACUGGUUCAAAUUUGAGAAAAUGGUAACAGACCUUUAGUGAUGUUGGUUUGGAGCCAGUUGCCAAACCCGCCCUGAGCUUUACCACUAAUGUCAAGGGAGAAAGCCAUUUGAACAAAAACAAUAGCUUCAAGGGACUGAAUCGUGGAUGAAAUCUGAUCCACAUUUCUUCUCAUUUUGGAAACAAAUGAGAACUUAACUAAGAAGAUUCUACGGCCUCAUAGUGCUUUUCCUGAUCUAAGGUUGGUUCGUUUCCCAAACUGUGAGAUGCACGUGCCAGACUUCAGAACUCUCACGCUCAGGAGUGUAUCCACGUGGUGGACAUAAGAUGGUGGCUUAAGAUCUGGUGUCGGUGGCUUUACUUUACUAGGAGAGUAGUGUGUCUUCAUCUCAUUCACUGCCGGAGGGUGGCGUAAGCAGUGACGCUAAGGUGGGGCACAGUCAAUAUCAUUUGCAUUUGACCAUUAUAGUUUUCUCCCGGCUUUAAAGUAACCUUAUCGUGAUAAAGGAUUACUAGCACUAGUUCAGAUGAUAGUCAUGUUAAAUUCGGACCAUGUUUGUGUCACAUUAUCAGCAACCAUGUGUUUAUGGUUCAUGCUUUCUGCAACUAAAAUUGAUAUAUAACCAGGUGAACUUCAAUCUAAAUUCUGAAAGUACUCAUGUGAUAGAUGGUGCCCGUCUGCAGAGUCCAUCAAUUGAAAAAUGGAGUGAGUGUAUCUAUAAGAGGGAAGGCUUGGAAAAUGUUCAGUUUUCUGGGAAUUCAACAAGGAUCUAAAAUAGAUUGUUUUCUUUGCUGAUUUCAAUGGUUGAAAUUUGAGAAGAUUGUGUCCACAUAACACAACUAUUACUGGUCCUUCUGUUGCAAUUUAUCCUCUAAAGCUCUAGCAUGUCUUCCAAUUCCCACUUCCCUGUUACUCCAGGAAAGCUAUUUCUGUCAUUGUGAAGAAGAAAAGAGAAUGUACAUAUCGAUGCUUUUAAGUGACUGGAGCAUUUAUAUCAGGUGGUCUGCAGCCAUAUAUGCCACUUUGUGAAGAUUGGAACAGUCAAUCACUAGGCUAUAUAUUAGUGUGGCCCAGCCACUUUAAUCAAGGACAAGUCUUCAUACUUAAAGUCAAAUUCUGCCUUUAGUCUCAUUAUAAAUUUCUGUUUAAAUAUUAAGCAAACAUUUGUUUAAUGCGAUUAAGACAGUACUAACUCAAUACCUGUUCUAUUUUUGGAUGCAAAUGCUUGAUGGUUUCAUCAUUGGAUGGGAUAAAGGUGCAUUCAUGAUUAGGAAUACUAGUAGUUAUAUUUUAAUUCUCUUUUUUCUCAAUGAGACUUGUUGGCACAAUUUUGCUGUUGAGAAACCUACCUCUCCAUGGAAAAUAAGUUGUGAUUGAUAGUACUGGAUAUAUUCAAGAAAUCUAAAUAUAGAUAGCACAAAAUAUUAUCGACAUAAAUAGCAUUAACAGCGUACGUAUGUCUCAGUGCUCAUCAGCUAUAAGCAUGGGGCAAACACUUACUAUGAGCAACUUACGUCAAAAUUCCAGAAUAGGACAUAGAAGUGACAGAUAUAGAACAUUGCAUAUGAGUCACAAGAAAGGAAAUUACGGGUGCAUAGCAGCUCUUAUUUUACAUACUACUACUCAUACUGAUCAAAGUCACUCAGUUGGGAUGGGUGGGAGUAGGAGGUUUGUGGGGUGGCUUGUGCGGAGGAGUUGGCAGCUUCUUUCCAGGACCUGGUUGCUUCUCUGCUGGAGUUGAAGGAGGCUUAAUCUUCCGAGGUGGCUUGUAUGAGUCUUCAGCAUUCUCAGCUGGAGGGUGACCAGGGUUGUGACCAUAAUGUGGUGGCUUCUCUCCCUUAGGUGGUUUGCCAACUGGGGUUGGUGGCUUGUAUGAGUCUUCAGCAUUCUCAGCAGGAGGGUGACCAGGGUUGUGACCAUAAUGUGGUGGCUUCUCUCCCUUAGGUGGUUUGCCAACUGGGGUUGGUGGCUUGUGUUCUGGGAGUGGCUUCUCCCCCUUGGGAGGUUUUUCCAAUGGGGUUGGUUUGUGUUCAGGAGGUGGCUUCUCCACUGGAGGCUUGUGUUCAGGAGGUGGCUUCUCCACCGGAGGCUUGUGUUCAGGUGGUGGCUUCUCCACCGGAGGCUUAUGCUCUGGUGGUGGCUUCUCGAAUGGGGGAUGCUUAGGAUAAUCAGCAAGUGAGGGGGCGGUGAGAACCACCAGGCCAAGCAACACCACUAGCAAAUAUGUAGGAGACAUCUUUGGGUUUGGGCUCAGAUGGUGCAAAACUAGGAGAAUUGGCUAGCCUUUUAUAGCGGAUCGUACCCAAUAAUGAAAUGACACGUGUCAUUAUGACCCAUGUGUAAUGGGGUCGAUUUGGGUCCUACAGUGUUGAAAACUUCGACAUCCACUUUUGGCCUUUUGCUUUCUCUACAGCCGCCUUGCUUUUUCCCUCUUUCCUUUUGUUUUCCUCCUGCCCCAUUCUAUCAACUAAACACAAUUAUGUAGUUGUUUAAUUCUUAAAUGAGAUAUUAUCCGUCAAUCGUAUUAUAUUUUAUCAAGAGAGAACGGAGUGCAAUGUGGCUGUAAUUUUAUCGUUUAGUUUUAUCUCUUGGACCACUGCAUUUUUGUUAAGAGGUGCAAUAAUACACGUCUUUAUCUGCCAUUCAAUAUUUACAGUAAAGAGAGGGCACAAAACUCUUCACUUCGCACCAUAAUUAUUUUGUUUUCUGGACACCCCGGGGCCCUUUGGUUGGUUUGGGGGUCAGAAAGUGAACAUCAUAGGGGGUUUUUCCCUUAUGUGCAUUUGUAUCUGAUGGCUUUAACUCGCCUUGUUACUACAAAGAAACUGUCACAGAUAGGAACUUAUUCCAGGCUGAGUAUCUCCUCAUAGACCCUAUAAAAGAAGACAAGUCAUAAUGAACAUCUAACCUUUGUUCAAUUUGAUUCAAUGCCCCCAUUGUGUCCAUCUCACAAAUCUGAAUUAUUAUAUCCAUUGAAUACAUAAAUUAAUGAAGAAAAUAUGAAACCCAAGAUACAUCUCUGCACAACCUCAACCCUGGUUGCUAUGUUUCCCUUCUAUUCACAUGAUUUGAUGCUAAUUGCCAAACUUGCAACAAGCCCUGAGUUUGACACCUAGUAUCGAUGGGCGAAUUUAAAGUCUCCUCCAAACAUAUAUUCCACAGCUUGAAGCUCACAGAAGAUGUUACAGGCAGGGAAAAACCUUCAGAGUUCGCUACCAAAGAUAAUUAUUAAGGAGAUAUCACAAAGAGAAUUCCAAGGGGUCUGAAUCAAAGACAAAUUGGUCGUUCGUGGGGGUUCUUACUUUCUUUUGGGUAUAACUCACUGAGGGCACUGUCUUUGUUAUUUGCAUUUCACAUUUAGAGUUCUGUUCUGGAAACAUAUAAAAGGAGCAUCAUUUUGUUCUUGGGUAACCCAUAGUCGUGAGUGGGUCCAUUUGCAUGCUACUUAGUUGAAAAGUUGGACCAUUUGCUCCGACGCCUACCUCCCGGAUUCCAUGCUCGGAUAAAACAAGAAUAAAAAAAAUAUUUAUAAUUUACAAAUGGGGGAAAGAAAAAAAUGUCAACAACAAACCAGGAAAAAAGAGUAGUAAAAUUCAUGUCACAUGCUAGUGAGAGAAGGGGUUGUUACACUCACUCGAAGUUCUUUCCAAAAUAUCGCAUGGUAUUUUAUUUUAUGUGUCAGCGCAGUUGUGAAUGGAACGUGCAAAAGUCCAAAUUGGCGUUUUUCCUUUUCCCGUGUAGGAUGGCGACCUUUAAUAAAUAUUUAAAACAAAAAACGAAAAAAAGGAGGGAAAAGGGAUCAGAAAAGAUAAAACAAUGUGUACAAGAGCUCAAUUAGUUUGCAAAUUACUGUUUGGAUUUUGAUAGUAUUUUAUUUGUCCAUCUAUAUUUGAUGGAAAAGAGAAUUUAAGAUAUUUCUGAAACAAAAGCAUUAGUGUAAAACUAAAUUAAGGUAUAAUUAAGUUAGUUCAAUGCAUUAAUUUAAGAAACUUGAUCUAUCCAAAGUACAAAAUUAGAUGAAAUCCAUUUCAAUGGUUAAAAUGAUCAAAAUCAAACUUUUUCUAAGUAUUUUUUAAAAGCAUCAAUAUUAAAAGACAAUUUUAUAUUUAGUCGGAGUUUGGACAAAACCAAAAAGCACACAAAAUCCAAGCGACCAUCUCUAGCUUGGAUAGUCACUUGAUCCCACCUAGAGAUGUGCAUGAGUAAAAGGAUUUGAAAAUGGAAAUUGACUAAAUAUUUAGUUGAUCAAUUAAAUUUGCAAUGUCAUAUGCAAUCCUAAUAGCUAGUCAUCUAAUCAAUUAGGUAGUCAAUCAAGUGUUUGUAAUGACUAUUUUGUACAAAAAACCACAUGUAUAGUUAAAUAUAAUGCAUUUCAUUUAUAAAUCUUCUAAUUCUUGAAUAACGAUCCUAUCAUCCUUUGAAAAUUUUUAUUACACCUUUUUUACUUUUGUUCUAAAACUUACAUAUCACCCUUAAUUGUACCAUGAGAACCUAGCUAUUUUUUUUUUUUUUGUAAUUCAUCAAAGUUAGCUUUUGUAUUCAUUGUUGUAUUAUUUUUAGUAUAACUUAGAAAGCUAGUGUUUUCAAGUGAGUAAAAUUAACUUGUAAAUAUUGUAAAGAUUCAUUGAUAUGUAUCUUAAACUAAGUGUACAAAUUAAAACAUUUGCUAGUAGAUUUUCUCAAAAUUUAGAAUAGAGCUUGAGGCUAUUGAAAUAGGUGGGGUUACACCAAACCACAUCACAUCGUUGUUUGCACCUUUUUUCACUCUCUUUUACUUAGUUUCUCUAUAUUUGUUGUCUAGUAAUAUCCUAUAGGCUUGAUGGGUUAGGGAGCAUCCCUUUGUGAAAAAAUUUCAUUCAAUUCUUAGUUGUAUUACGCAUAUAUAAAAUGCCUCAUUGUUUUAAUGGUAUUCAGUCGUGGCAUCACAGAUAUGGGCAUCUAAAUUUUAAAAGUUUGAAACUUUUGUAAAGCAUGUUGAUAAAAUCCAUGAGAGUUGUGUACUUGGGAAGCAACAUCGAGGUGACUUUAUUUUUUUUUCCUUUUAUAAUGCCACACCUAAGUCCGGUUUCUAAAUGCUAAAGUGAAAGGGUAGGUAUGGACCAUUGAAAUGUGAUCACAACUUUUGGCCUUUUCCUUUCUCUGCAGCCAUGUUGUCUCUUUUUUCUUUUGCAUGAUUUUCUUACCAAAACAGAAUCAUAGACUUGUUUAGUCUCUAAGCUACUAUAUUAUAUCUCGGUGGACUUUUAAGAGUGCAACCGACAUAGAGCACAUGCAAGUGGGCAUAUGGGACAUGAAAUUUCUUCUUACAAAGAUUGCAUGAUUUUUAUAUUAGAGUUGUUCACGUGCAAUGUAUUUAGCUUGUUUUGCAGUUAAAUUAAUUGGAUAAGUAAACAUUGGCAUUUCUAAAUCGACUGUGAAGUGCUUCAUGUACGUGUAAAGUAUUAGAAAUUUCUUUCUUGGCAACUUGUUUUUUCCUUGCCAUCUACUGGUAGGUUUGACUAAAAUUAUAUUCCCUGUCAUGCUAAUUAAUUUUCAUGUGCAUGCUCAAAAGAAGAGUAUGACCUUAGUGCACCAAAAUCACUUUGAUUAAUUUGUGAUAGGUUUUUUUGCAUCAUUUAGAUAAUGUUUAGUUCUAAGAAAAAUUUAUAUAAAAAUGGUUUAUUUAUCUUACAUAUAUAUAUAUAUAUAUAUAUUUUUUUUUUUUUCAUUUUUUUUUCUUCUAUUUUAUUUAUUUAUUUUAUUUUCCUUAUGUUUUCCUCACAUUUUCCGGAACUAAACAUAGUCUUACGAAAUCAACAAUUGCCUUCAACUGAGUAGAUUCUGUUGUUUUAGCAAUGUUAGGCUGCUAACUUGUGGUGGUACGAACCAAAUGACCCAUGUUAAUCUUGGCUUGGUUUGAUUUGGCUCUAUCUCAGAGAGCUAAAGGAUCACGUCAACUCUGGUUUCUACUAUUCAGGUCCAUUCCCAGAUGAACUGGUUCAAAUUUGAGAAAAUGGUAACAGACCUUUAGUGAUGUUGGUUUGGAGCCAGUUGCCAAACCCGCCCUGAGCUUUACCACUAAUGUCAAGGGAGAAAGCCAUUUGAACAAAAACAAUAGCUUCAAGAGACUGAAUCGUGGAUGAAAUCUGAUCCACAUUUCUUCUCAUUUUGGGAAAAAAUGAGAACUUAACUACAAAGAUUCUACUGCCUCAUUCAUAGUGCUUUUCCUGAUCCAAGGUUGGUUCGUUUCCCAAAUUGUGAGGUGCACGUGCCACUCUCACGCUCAGGAGUGUAUCCACGUGGUGGACAUCAGAUGGUGGCUUAAUAUCUGGUGUCGGUGGCUUUACUUUACUAGGAGAGUAGUGUGUCUUCAUCUCAUUCACUGCCGGAGGGUGGCGUAAGCAGUGACGCUAAGGUGGGGCACAGUCAAUAUCAUUUGCAUUUGACCAUUAUAGUUUUCUCCCGGCUUGAAAGUAACCUUAUCGUGAUAAAGGAUUACUAGCACUAGUUCAGAUGACCGUCAUGUUAAUUCGGACCAUGUUUGUGUCACAUUAUCAGCAACCAUGUGUUUAUGGUUCAUGCUAUCUGCAACUAAACUUGAUAUAUAACCAGGUGAACUUCAAUCAAAAUUCUGGAAGUACUCUUGUGAUAGAUGGUGCCUGUCUGCAGAGUCCAUCAAUUGAAAAAUGGAGUGAGUGUAUCUAUAAGAGGGAAGGCUUGGCAAAUGUUCAGUUUUCUGGGAAUUCAACAAGGAUCUAAAAUAGAUUGUUUUCUUUGCCGACUUCAAUGGUUGAAAUUUGAGAAGAUUGUGUCCACAUAUCACAACUAUUACUGGUCCUUCUGUUGCAAUUUAUCCUGUAAGGCUCUAACAUGUCUUCCAAUUCCCACUUCCCUGUUACUCCAGGAAAGCUAUUUCUGUCAUUGUGAAGAAGAAAAGAGAAUGUACAUAUCGAUGCUUUUAAGUGACUGGAGCAUUCAUAUCAGGUGGUCUGCAGCCAUAUAUGCCACUUUGUGAAGGUUGGAACAGUCAAUCACUAGGCUAUAUAUUGGUGUGGCCCAGCCACUUCAAUCAAGGACAAGUCUUCAUACUUAAAGUCAAAUUCUGCCUUUAGUCUCAUUAUAAAUUGCUGUUUAAAUAUUAAGCAAACUUUUGUUUAAUGCGAUUAAGACAGUACUAACUCAAUACUUGUUCUAUUUUUGGAUGCAAAUGCUUGAUGGUUUCAUCAUUGGAUGGGAUAAAGGUGCAUUCAUGAUUAUGAAUACUUGUAGUUAUAUUUUCAUUCUCUUUUUUCUCAAUGAGACUUGUUGGCACAAUGUUGCUGUUCAGAAACCUACCUCUCCAUGGAAAAUAAGUUGCGAUUGAUAGUACUGGAUAUGUUCAAGAAAGCUAAAUAUAGAUAGCACAAAAUAUUAUCGAUAUAAAUAGCAUUAACAGCGUACGUAUGUCUCAAUGCUCAUCAGCUAUAAGCAUGGGACAAACACUUACUAUGAGCAACUUACGUCAAAAUUCCAGAAUAGGACAUAGAAGUGACAGAUCUAUAUAUAUAGAACACUGCAUAUGAGUCACAAGAAAGGAAAUUACGGGUGCAUAGCAGCUCUUAUUUUACAUACUACUACUCAUACUGAUCAAAGUCACUCAGUUGGGAUGGGUGGGAGUAGGAGGUUUGUGGGGUGGCUUGUGCGGAGGAGUUGGCAGCUUCUUUCCAGGACCUGGUUGCUUCUCUGCUGGAGUUGAAGGAGGCUUAAUCUUCCGAGGUGGCUUGUAUGAGUCUUCAGCAUUCUCAGCUGGAGGGUGACCAGGGUUGUGACCAUAAUGUGGUGGCUUCUCUCCCUUAGGUGGUUUGCCAACUGGGGUUGGUGGCUUGUAUGAGUCUUCAGCAUUCUCAGCAGGAGGGUGACCAGGGUUGUGACCAUAAUGUGGUGGCUUCUCUCCCUUAGGUGGUUUGCCAACUGGGGUUGGUGGCUUGUGUUCUGGGAGUGGCUUCUCCCCCUUGGGAGGUUUUUCCAAUGGGGUUGGUUUGUGUUCAGGAGGUGGCUUCUCCACUGGAGGCUUGUGUUCAGGAGGUGGCUUCUCCACCGGUGGCUUGUGUUCAGGAGGUGGCUUCUCCACCGGAGGCUUAUGCUCUGGUGGUGGCUUCUCCACCGGAGGCUUAUGCUCUGGUGGUGGCUUCUUGAAUGGGGGAUGCUGAGGGUAAUCAGCAAGUGAGGGGGCGGUGAGAACCACCAGGCCAAGCAACACCACUAGCAAAUAUGUAGGAGACAUCUUUGGGUUUGGGCUCAGAUGGUGCAAAACUAGGAGAAUUGGCUAGCCUUUUAUAGCGGAUCGUACUCAAUAAUGAAAUGACACGUGUCAUUAUGACCCAUGUGUAAUGGGGUCGAUUUGGGUCCUACAGUGUUGAAAACUUCGACAUCCAGUUUUGGCCUUUUGCUUUCUCUACAGCCGCCUUGCUUUUUCCCUCUUUCCUUUUGUUUUCCUCCUGCCCCAUUCUAUCAACUAAACACAAUUAUGUAGUUGUUUAAUUCUUAAAUGAGAUAUUAUCGGUCAAUCGUAUUAUAUUUUAUCAAGAGAGAACGGAGUGCAAUGCAGCUGUAAUUUUAUCGUUUACUUUUAUCUCUUGGACCACUGCAUUUUUGUUAAGAGGUGCAAUAAUACACGUCUUUAUCUGCCAUUCAAUGUUUACAGUAAAGAGAGGGCACAAAACUCUUCACUGCUCUGCAUGUGUCCCAAAAAUGCGAUUGGACAAAUUAUGAUUUGCAUGCUAAAAAGAGGCAAAUGAGGUUAAUUCGCACCAUAAUUAUUUGGUUUUCUGGACACCAUAAAAAGAUGUUAUACAGGCAGGGAAAAACCUUCAGAGUUAGCUACCAAAGAUAAUUAUCAAGCAGAUAUCACCAAGAGAAUUCCAUAGAGUCUGAAUCAAAGACAGAUUGCUCGCUCGUGGGGGUUCUUACUUUCUUUUGGGUAUAACUCACUGAGGUCACUGUCUUUUUUAUUUGCAUUUCACAGUUAGAGUUCUGCUCUGGAAGGUUUGUUCUGGAAACAUAUAAAAGGAGCAUCAUUUUGUUCUUGGGUAACCCAUAGUCGUGAGUGGGUCCAUUUGCAUGCUACUUAGUUGAAAAGUUGGACAAUUUGCUCCGACGCCUACCUCCUGGAUUCCAUGCUCGGUAAAACAAGAAUAAAAAAAAAUAUAUAAUUUACAAAUGGGGGAAAGAAAAAAUGUCGGAAAAAAUAGUAAAAUUCAUGUCACAUGCUAGUGAGAGAAGGGGUUGUUACACUCACUCGAAGUUCUUUUCAAAAUAUCGAAUGGUAUUUUACUUUAUGUGUCAGCGCAGUUGUGAAUGGAACGUGCAAAAGUCCAAAUUGGCGUUUUUAUUUUUCCCAUGUAGGAUGGUGACCUUUAAUAAAUAUUUAAAACAAAAGACGAAAAAAAAAAGGAGGGAAAAGGGAUCACAAAAGAUAAAAUAAUGUUUACAAAAGCUCAAUUAGUUUGCAAAUUACUGUUUGGAUUUUGAUAGUAUUUUAUUUGUCGUUCUAUAUUUGAUGUAAAAGAGAAUUUAAGAUAUUUCCGAAGCAAAAGCAUUAGUUUGCUCUGUGAUGUCCCACAUCGAAUAGGGGAGAAAGUUUCUGGCGCUAUAUAUGUAGAGGCUCCUCUUAACCAAGUAGAUGCGUUUUAAAACCAUGAGGGCCCCCUUAGGUCCAAAGCGGACAAUAUCUACAUGAUUGGGUGUAAGUCAUUACAAAUGGUAUCAGAGCCGAUCCCCGACCCCGGUGUGGGGGUUUGUUUGGCCCUGUAAGGGGUGUUUGUCUGUUUGACCCCACAAUCCCAUGGGACACAACGAGGACGUUGUGUCUGCAUGGGGGGGCGUUUGUGAUGUCCCACAUCGGAUAGGGGAGAAAGUUCCUAGUGCUAUAUAUGUAGAUGUUUCUCUUAACCAAGUAGAUGCAUUUUAAAAUUGUGAGGGCCUCUUUGGGCCCAAAGCGGACAAUAUCUACAUGGUUGAGUGUAAGUCAUUACAUGCUCCAUGUCAAUUUCAGCAUUUCUCAUAUGUUUCACACAUACACAGAAGAGCAUCGUUUUUUAAAGCAUGCAUUUAUGUUGGAUUAAUUUGGAUUUUGUGGGAACUGGGGCAAGGAUCACAUGGAAGAGAGGUUGACUUUUUUCAGUACUUCAAUGGUUGAAAUAUGUGAAGGCUUGAUUGAUACUAAAGCUUGAAAUUGCGACUCUGUCAUUUGUAAAAAAAUAUGACAGCUUCCAUGCUCUCGUUUGGUUGCAUUGUCCGGUCGAGAGGUGCAAAAAGCAUUCUCUCUCUUCUAAUAGUCUUUUCGUUUAAAUCAAGGGAUUUGCCUUCCCGGUCGAGGUCCAAUAGAGGGUAACGGUCACCUACUAAACAUUAAAUGCUCCAACAACUAGUGAACUGAUCGACCCCAGCUCGACUAGUUGAGGUUACUUUUUGGUUUUCUUGUCUCCCGAGGUUAGAAACCUAUAAAUAGAGAGCUUCACUUCAUUUAUGAGUAAGAGAACACCUAAAUUUAUUUGUUUACCUACUUGUUUUUGCCAUAAAAGCUCUCAUUUCUUUUCUUGGUGUAUUAAAUCUCCAUUUGCAUAUCCUUUAGUGCACCUUUGUGAUUCAUUCUAGCCUUGAGUUGUAUUUAAGCCUUUGUUGAGCUAGGUUGAGAGUUUCAUACUUGUUUAUUGAGUGUUAAAGCCUUCAAGUGAGUUAAAACUUGAAGAGAUUGUGUAAGAGCCCAUUGGAGUCGGAAUCCAAGUGUAAAGGUGAUUAAAAGCUUGGUUGAAGCUUCAAGUUAGUGGAACUCUCACUCGGUUAUGAGCUUGAGAAGAGUGGACAUAGACAAGGCAGUGUCGAACCACUAUAAAAUCUGAGUUUGAUUUCUCUAACCUUAUCUCUUUAUAUUUGCUUCUCUUGUGCUUAAAUUUUUUGUGUUUAAAAAGAAUUUUUAAAAACUCAAUUCACCCCCUUCUUGGGAGUUUUUCUCUUUUAAGAUCAGCUUUUAUUUUCUCAAUUGGUAUCAGAACUAUGCCUCUUGUUUAAGACUUAAUCGUCUAAGAGGAAAUGGCUAAUCCAUCAAGUUCAUCUCACAUUGAAAGUUUUGCAACCAAUAGACUUCUUUUUUUUUUUUUGCGGGAACUGAUUAUCCCUAUUGGAAAACUAAAAUGACUUGGUUUUUACAAUCAAUUGAUUUAGAUGUAUGAGAUGCCAUUGAAGAUGACCUAACUUUUCCUUCAAAACUAGUUGAUGGAGUCAUGGUUCCAAAACCUAAGCAAGAAUGGGAUGAGCGUGAUUGAAGAAAUUUUCAAUUAAAUGCUAAAGUCGUUUAUACUUUGCAAUGCUCUAUGGACAGAAAUGAAUAUAAUAGAAUAUGUCAAUGCAAAUCGGUUAAAGAAAUUUGGAGAUUGCUUGAAAUAACUCAUAAAGGAACAAAUCAAGUUAAAGAGUCAAAAAUCAAUUUACUUGUUCAUAGAUAUGAAUUGUUUUUUAUGAAAGAUAAUGAAACUAUUGUUAAGAUGAUCACUAGGUUCACCAACAUUGUUAAUGGUCUUAAAGCCUUGGGAAAGACCUACAAGGAAUCCGAAAACGUGAUGAAGAUCUUGAGGUCACUUCCAUCAAAGUGGCAUACCAAGGUCACCGCAAUUUAAGAAGCAAAAGACUUGAUCAAGCUACCUUUGGAGGAGUUCAUAGGGUCAUUGAUGACAUAUGAAAUCAAUUUGGCAAAGAAGUAACAAAAAGGUGAAGACAAAAAGAAGAAGAACAUAACUCUCAAAGCUACAACUAAGGAAGAAGAAGUUGAAGAAGAAAAACAAAUUGAAGAAGAUGAAGAUUUAGCCCUCAUCACAAGAAAGUUCAACAAAUUCAUGAGGGGUGAAAGGUUUAGAAGAAGAAGGUUCACUUCUAGAAGAGACUUUUCUAAAAAGGAAUCUUCAUCUAAUGGUGACAAAAAGAGAUGGGAAGAGAAAAGAGACUUGGUGUGUUUCAAGUGCAAGAAACCGGGACACAUUAAAUAUGAUUGUCCUCUCUACAAAAGUGAAGUCAAGAGGAAAAAGAAUAAGGCAAUGAUGGCCACUUAGAGUGAAAGUGAAGAUGAAUCAUCCGAAGAAGAAAAUGAGAAAGAAGUGGCAAACAUGUGUUUCAUGGCAAUAGAUGAACUUGAUGAGGUAAAAUCUAACCUUAGUGAUUAAGAUAUACAUGAUGCAUUUGAAGAAUUGUAUGAGGAUUUUUAAAAACUUAGUUUGAAAAAUAUUUCUCUUAAAAAGAAAGUUCAACAACUUGACAAAGAACUUAGAGAAGUAAAAGAAAAAUUUUCAAAUGUUAAAGUUUCUAAAACUCAUCUUGAAAAAGAAAAUGAGAUUCUAAGAAAGAAAAAUGAAUAGUUGAACUCCUCUCUUUCAAUCUUUUCUUCUAGACAAAAAUCUUUUGAAAUGAUUCUAACUAGCUAAAAAUGUGUUUUUGACAAACAAGGGUUAAGAUUUAAAUCUUCAAAAAAUCAAAAGUAUUUUAAAAACUAUUUUGUAAAGGAAUCCACAAGUGCAAGUCCUUCCACUACUUGCAACUUUUGUGGAAGAGAAUGGCACAUUAGUAGUACGCCCUUUAAGAAAUGGUUCUCAAAAGAAUUUAAAUGCAAAAACUAAAAAAGAUUUGGAUUGAGAAAUCCAAGGUCACUAACCCUCAAGGACCCAAAAAGAUAUAGGUACCUAAAUCAACUUGAGUUUUAUGUUGUAAGGUUCAAAGAAUGAUAAGUGGUUCUUAGAUAAUGGUUGCUCAAGACACAUGACCGGAGAUGAAUCCAAGUUUGCUUUUCUUAAAAAGAAAAAUGGAGGAUAUGUUACCUUUGGAGACAAUGCAAAAGAAAGGAUGAUUGGUCAAGGCAACAUUGGUAAUGGCACAUCCUCUCUCAUUGAAAGUGUUUUAUUAGUAGAUGGUUUCAAACAUAACCUUUUAAGCAUUAGUCAAUUUUGCGACAAAGGUUUUUAAGUGAUUUUUUAAGCAUCUCAUUGCAUCAUCAAGGAUAUUCAAAAUGAUAAAACCAUUUUCAUGGGCCAUAGAUGUGAUAAUGUUUAUGCUAUAAAUAUUUCAAAAUAUGAUGGCCAUGAUAGAUGUUUUUCAAGCAUGCAUGAUCAAAGUUGGUUGUGCCAUAGGAGAUUGAGACAUGCUAACAUAGACCUCAUUUCCCAACUCAACAAAGAUGAACUUGUUAGAGGCCUUCCCAAAAUAAUUUUUUAAAAAGAUAAAGUUUGUGAAGCUUGUCAAGUGGGAAAGUAAAUCAAAAACUCUUUUAAAAACAAAAACUUCAUUUCCACAUCUAGGCCACUUGAGUUGUUGCAUAUGGAUUUAUUUGGUCCCUCUAGGACACCAAGUCUUAGAGGAAAUUCUUAUGCAUAUGCUAUUGUGGACGACUUCUCUAGAUACACAUGAGUCUUGUUUUUUAGUCAAAAGAAUAAAGUUUUUUAUGAGUUUUCAAAGUUUUGCAAUAAGAUUCAAAAUGAAAAAGGUUUUUCAAUUACUUAUAUAAGAAGUGAUCAUGGGAGAGAAUUCGAAAAUAUUGAUUUUGAAGAGUAUUGCAAUGAGCAUGGAAUUGACCACAAUUUUUUGGCUCUUAGAACUCCUCAACAAAAUGGGGUAGUUGAAAGGAAAAAUAGAACUCUUCAAAAAAUGACAAGAACCAUACUAAAUGAAAACAACUUACCAAAAUAUUUUUAGGCCAAAACGGUUAACACUUCUUGUUAUGUUUUAAAUAGAGUAUUAUUGAGGCUCAUACUUAAGAAAACUCCCUAUGAGCUUUGGAAAAACAAAAAACCCAACAUUAGUUAUUCCAAAGUCUUUGGAUGCAAUAUUUUAUAAUAAACACCAAAGACAAUCUUGGAAAAUUUGAUGCAAAAUUGGAUGUUGGAAUUUUCCUUGGUUACUCAACUUCAAGUAAAGCUUUUCGAGUUUUAACAAAAGAACCAUGGUUGUAGAGGAGUCCAUCCAUGUUAUUUUUUAUGAAUCUCCAAGAAAGAGAGAGGAUUGAUGAUGAUUUAGGUUUGAAGACCUCUAUAGGAAGAUUGCAAAUCGAAGAUAGAAGACAACAAGAAGAAAAUGGAGAGAAUCCAAAGAAAGAAGGAUCACCAUUGGCACUACCCCCUCAUCAACAAGCGCAAGGUGAAUCAAGUCAAGAGCUUCCUAAAGAAUGGAAGUUUGUCAUCAAUCACCCACAAGAUCAAAUUAUAGGCAAUCCAUCUAGUGGGGUAAGAACUAGAUCCUCUCUUAGAAAUAUUUGCAAUAAUCUAGCUUUUAUCUCUCAAAUUGAGCCUAAAAAUAUAAAUGAUGUUUUAGAUGAUGAAAAUUGGAUAAUUGCAAUGCAAGAAGAGUUAAAUCCAUUUGAAAGAAGUGGAGUAUGGGAAUUAGUACCAAGACCUUCAAAUCAAAGUGUUAUUGGAACUAGAUGGAUCUUUAGAAAUAAAAUGGAUGAAAAUAGCAUAAUUGUUAGAAAUAAAGCAAGAUUGGUAGCCCAAGGUUUUAAUCAAGAAGAAAUGAUAGAUUAUGAAGAAACCUUUGCCCCCGUAGCUAGGUUGGAAGCCAUUAGGAUGCUACUUGCCUUUGCAUGUUUUAAAGACUUUGUUUUAUAUCAAAUGGAUGUGAAAAGUGCUUUUUUAAAUGGUUUUAUAAAUGAAGAAGUAUAUGUUGAACAACCACCCGGUUUUCAAAGUUUCAACUUUCCUAACCAUGUUUUUAAACUUAAAAAGACACUUUAUGGUUUGAAACAAGCACCUAGAUCAUGGUAUGAAAAAUUGAGUAAAUUUCUUUUGAAAAAAAUGUUUUAAAAUGGGAAAAAUUGACACAACUCUUUUUAUAAAAACCAAAGAAAAUGAUAUGCUCUUAGUUCAAAUAUAUAUUGAUGAUAUCAUUUUUGGUGCUACUAAUGUCUCUCUUUAUGAAGAAUUUUCUAAGUGCAUGCAUAGUGAGUUUGAAAUGAGCAUGAUAGGAGAACUCAACUUCUUCCUUGGACUUCAAAUCAAGCAACUAAAGGAAUGAACCUUCAUCAAUCAAGCAAAGUAUAUAAGAGAUCUUCUCAAAAGGUUCAACAUGGAAGAAGCCAAAACAAUGAAGACUCUAAUGAGCUCAUCCAUUAAGCUUGAUAAGGAUGAGAAAGGUAAAUCCAUUGACUCUAUUAUGUAUAGAGGCAUGAUAGGUUCUUUGCUCUAUUUGACCACUAGUAGACCUUACAUUAUGUAUAGUGUGUGUUUGUGUACUAGAUUUCAAUCUUGUCUUAAAAAAUCUCACUUAAGUGUCGUGAAAAGAAUCCUCAAAUAUUUGAAAGGGACAAUGGACAUAGGCUUAUGGUAUCCUAAGAGUGAUAACUUUGAAUUAAUUGGUUUUUUGGAUGCUGAUUUUGUCAGUUGUAGGGUUGAAAAAUAAAACACUAGUGGCACUUUUCAUUUCUUAAGACACUUACUUGUCUCAUGGCAUAAUAAGAAGCAAAAUUUGGUAGCUUUGUCAACAGCAGAAGCUAAAUACAUAGCAACUGGUUUAUGUUGUGCACAAAUCCUUUGGAUGAAAUAAACACUUAGUGAUUUUGAUUUAUCUUUUGAGCAUAUUCCUAUUAAAUGUGAUAAUAGUAGUGCCAUAAGUAUAUCAAAAAAUCUCGUGCAACACUCUAGGACUAAGCAUAUAGAGAUUAGACAUAAUUUUCUUAGAUAUCAUACACAAAAGGAUGAUAUAACACUUGAAUUUGUAAGCAUAAAAGACCAACUUGCCGAUAUCUUUACAAAACCUCUAAGAACAUUUUGUUGAUAUUAGAGGACAAUUAGGAGUGAUUUCUUUAUGAUCUAAUGUGAUGAAUUCUUGAUGAAUAUACUUUUUGAUUGCAUGAAUUUCAUGUCAUAUAUGCAUCAUAUAGAAAUAUACUUAGAUAAUGGUCAAAUUUCGACCAAAAAUCAAAAUUCCCAUGGCAUUAGGCAUAAAAAUUUUGGAAUUUCAACUGAAAAUGGUAGGAGGAGGAUCACAAAAUGAGAAAGUAUGCAAAAAUUGAAAAAUCAAAACGUUGACCAAGCGGUCAAUCGGACUAGACCGAUCGACUAGUUUGUCGAGAUUUAGGAUUUUUAAGAGACUCCAACGCUUCAAUUUUUGCACCGUUCUCCUCUAUUUCUUCACGGUUUCUCUGAUUUUGUCUUUUAGAGACUAAUUUGAGUGCGUUUUGGAUCAAUUGAAGCAUUUUGGAUUGGAUUUUAGGAAGAUUGAAAGUUAAGGUUUCGGAUUUGGGUCGCCUUCUCUUCCUCUCGCGUGUCACAAUCAGCUUUAGCAUUGUUCUCUUUCCAUUUUCACACACCUAGGGUUUCAGUUGUGAGCAUCUCUCUCUCUUUACCAACCACUACUCCCUUGCUUCUUCCAUAUGGCUCCUAGGCGAGAGUCCGCUACUUCUAGGGCACAAGGCAAGCACCCAACUGAGUCGUCUCAGUCAAAGGCACGUCGAAAAGUGAGAUUUGACAUUGCCUUGUUCAGUUCCAUGGAGGACUACCAACUAUACAAGCAACACUUUGCUUAGAGACGAGUAGUUCCCAAGAGAAAUAUUAAUUUUCCUCAACUUCAGCAUUUCGAAUUUAAGGGUCUAUUUACUAGGAUGGUUGGUUGUCUAUUGUCACAAUUUCGGAGCCGGUUUUCCUGACCUUAGUGCGAGUUUUUUACUCGAGGGCGACUUAUGGCAUGGGUGGCAUGAUCAUUUCUACUGUUGGAGGAGUUGAGAUCUGUCUGGACCCAGAGAGCAUCUGCCAUAUUUUCGAUAUUGCUCUGGUUGGACUCAAAGUAUACAAGUCCAAAAUGUGGCCCAUUGUGCCAGGAUUUGAGCUUAGAGAGGUCAUUCAGAGGAUUUGUGAACUUCCAGACGCCCAGGAGAUGGGCAAACCAUUGCCACACAGUUUGACGGUCAUCAACAGGGUGCUACACCAUAUAUUGUGCUCUAUCUUUCUACCACGAAGUGGACAUUGAGAUGAGGUCUCUUAUUAUGAGGCAUUCCUUAUUGACUCCAUUCUAACGGAGAGACGAAUUCAUCUACUAUGUCAUCAUUCACUAAGCCUCCUCACAGUGACAUACCACCUCAUCAGGCACCUCUUGCUCCUGACCAUGCUCCAUUGAUGGAUUUAUUUACUCAUAUUAGCUCUCUAGGCACUCGCAUGAAGGAGUUUGUUGUAGUUAGUGAUACAUGGUUCUACUCCAUAGAGGAUCGCAUGGAUCAGUAUCAGACUGGCUUCACGUCACAGUUUGAGUAUCUCCAAUAGAGGAUUGAGCAUAUUGAGGAUCACUUGAGCAUGAGAAGAUGAUGGCUUUUCUAUGCUCUGUGUUUCCACCUCCACCUCGUCAACCUUGAUUUCUUAGAGACCCAUUGUUUUCAUUUUGUAAUGUUGCCAAAAGGGGGAGAUAUUUAGGAUCUAGGACUCUAUAGGAGACUUACAUGCAUAUCAUUUUCAUAUCAUUGUUUGGAUCGUACAUAUUGGAUAGUGAUACUUUUUACUUAUAUAUGAUAUGCCUAUAUGUUUCAUGUCUUACAUUGUUUCUUAUUGCAAAUUAUCUCUAACAUGUCUUGAUUAUCUUUUUUUUAACUUCAUAAAUUUUGAUUGUUAACCCAUGAUUGGUUUGAGGGGAAGAUUCUUCUUCUCCUAGAUAACCAAGGUUUGUCAUCAUAAAAAAAUUGGAGAUUGUUAGCCCAAGGGUUCUCCUAAUCAUGUUUUGAUGAUAACAAACCAUGCUUAAGUUACUAAUUGGUUUGAAUUAUAAAGAAUUUCAAGUGUUAAUUUGAAAAUUCAUCAAAGAACCUAAUGGAUGCAAGAUCAAGAUUUUUGGAAGACCUUUAAUCAUAAGAAACAUAUGUAAGAUGAAUGCAUGGGUGCACUUAAGAUUUGCAUAUCAUUUCAUGCAUAUUUGGAAAACACGGUUUAUGCUUUAAAGUUACAUUUCCAUCAAAAUUUGAGAUCCAUCAAAUGAACCUUAGGAAAAAUGUUUUAAAAUUGGCAUAUAAUUUUACCUAAAGACCUUGCCUAAGUGUUAGAAGCAAAAGGACAAAAAAAAUAUAGGUUUUCUGGUCAAAAAUGGUGAACCAGUCAAGGCAUUGUCUAAAUCAGCUCAAUCGGCCAAGGUACCGGUCGAUCGGUUUCCCUUUCCCUGUCGAGAUCUAGUCAAGAGGUACAAAAAUCACAAUCUCUGUCUCUUUCUCUCUUUGUCUAUCUUCCAGUAGUCUUUCCUUCCCGGUCGAGGGAUUUGCCUUCCCGAUUGAGGUCCGAUUGAGAGUAAUAGUCACUUGCCAAAUAUUAAAUGCUCCAACAGUUAGUGAACUGGUCGACCCCCACCUUGCCCAGUUGAGGUUACUUUUUGGUUUUCUUGGCUCCCGAUGUUAGAAACCUAUAAAUAGAGAGUUCCACUUCAUUUAUGAGCAAGAGAACACUUGCAUUUAUUUGUUUACCUACUUGUUCUUGCCUUAAAAGCUCUCAUUUCUUUUCUUGGUGCAUUAAAUCUCCAUUUUGAUAUCCUUUAGUGCACCUUUGUGAUUCAUCUUAGCCUUGAGUUGUAUUUGAGCCCUUUUUUUAGCUAGGUUGAGAGUUUCAUACUUGUUAAUUGAGUGUUAAAGCCUUCAAGUGAGUUGAAACUUGUAGAGAUUAUGUGAGAGUCGAUUGGAGCCGAAAUCCAAGUGUAAAGGUGAUUAGAAGCUUGGUUGAAGCUUCAAGUUAGUGGAAUCCUCACUCAAUUAGGAGCUUGAGGAGAGUGGACGUAGCCAAGGAAGUGUCGAACCACUAUAAAAUUUGAGUUUGAUUUCUCUAACAUUGUCUCUUUAUAUUUGUUUAUCUUGUGCUUAAAUUUAUUGUGUUUAAAAAGAAUUUUUAAAUACCCAAUUCACCCCCCUCUUGGGUGUUUUUCUCUUUUAAAAUUAGCCUUUAUUUUCUCACAAACUAUUGUAGUAUAGUGGUUUUUAGGUGUCAUCCAUUAGGAUGAAUUGUUCUCGGUAAUUAAGGCGUGAAUGAGAGGAGAAUUAAUGAUUGUGAUUAAGUAAAAUUGAUUUGAAAAUUCAUGGUGAAAAAUCAAUUUAACAAUGGUUUCUAAUUGAGAAAAACAAUGAAAUGUGAAAUAAAAUAAAAUUAAUAGGAAAUGAAAUUCUCGAAGUUAGAAUUUUCUAAAAAACAAAUUCCAUGGUGAAUGGAUGUUGAGAUCUAAUUUUCAUCAAGUUAGAUUGAAAACCGAAAUUUUCAUAUAAACUGAUUUUUUAUUUAGUUUUAGGUCUAGAUUUAAUUUCCCUUAAAAUUAGGUUAUUUAAUCCAAGAAAUCAAUUCAAAUCAUAUAUUCAAUUCAUCUUAAAUUAUCUUCCAAUUAUUCACACAAUGCAACUAUUCAAUCUCAUCAAAUCUAGCUUUUAAGAAUUUAAUGAAUCUACCUAGUUUGCAUUGUAAUAGUCAUCCAUGACAAUUUGAAGAGAAAAAUAAUUCAAUUAAUCAAUCACUUGGAUCAAAUUACCUUUGCAAUUAAAGUUCAUUUCUCUAAUUCACCACAGAUUUUGUCUCUAGAUCCUCCUUUCUCAAAGAAAAAUGAGAUUUAGCCACACAUGAUUGGAGAUUUGGUCUCAUAAGGCAUGUUUAGCUAGUGAUAAAAUGAGAGAAAAUAAAGAAAAAUAGAGAAUUCGAUUAAGAAAGAAAAUCUAAAAAAUUCUACAAUUAGAAAUGUCCAAAAAGCUUUUUCAUGAGAAAAUCAAGUUUCUAUUUAUAGGCCAAGGUCAAGUGGACACUUGACAUCAUCUAAGAGGUCUUCCGGAAGCUUCUUCAUCAAGAAAUCUGGAGUUUAAUAAUAAAAUGGUCAUUUCACAAGAGCUCAAACAAUUUCGCAUGAUUAUGUGAAAUAAAAAAUGCAACAACAGCAAUUUACAUCUUCUUGGAGCAUUUCGCAUGACUGUGUGAAAUUUUCACAUGAUCAUGUGGAAUCGACUUGACAACUCUCAUUUAGCCUACAACAUAAUUCCACCUUUUGGUCCAUUUUUCAUAGUCAUGCGAAAUGGAAAUAUUUGAUUUUUAAGUUUUCUUUUGUCAUUUCUUUCAUUUCCUUCUCUUGAUUCCACUUCAACUACCUCCGAAUCCUGGUCCAAACCAAUUGCAUUACUUCUUUCAUUAUGCAUUUGGAUCAUCAUCAACAUUAUUUGUUCUCUUCAAUUUGAUUCAUCUCUUUUGUCACCAAUUUAUCAAAAUCAUACCUUGAAAUGACUCCAAAACUUCAUAAAACUUGUUAGUAACUCUUGCAAGGGCAACAACAUAUUAAUUAAGUGUUUUAGGCAUAGUUACUACUCAAAAGAUGCGAAACUCAUGAUAAUUAUUAUAUAAAAUAUGCUCUUUUUGAGUAGUAAUCAACUUUCUUGCAUAAGCAGACCUUUUAGGGUGGAGUACUAAAGACCAAUAUGCUUGUCCUUGUUGUAAUAAAGAAACUUGCUCUUAUUGAUUGCACCAUGGGAGAAAAUUUUGCUACAUGAGUUAUCAUCAAUUUCUUCCCACCAAUCAUAGAUUUAGACGUGACAAGAGGCCUCUUAAUGGCAAGGAGGAACUGACACUCACACUUAUACAAUUAUCGGGCAUUGAUGUGUUGCAACAAUUAGAAUAACUUACACCAAUUAUGUUGGGGAAGUCACAAAAGGCAAACAUGAAAACUAAAAGGAAAAAAGAAAAAUGUUACAUAUCACCACAACUGGAAAGAAAAAAGUAUUUACUUUCAUUUGCCAUAUUGGAAAGCACUUAUUUUACAUCAUAAUAAUUUAGACAUAAUGCAUAUUGAGAAAAAUGUGUGACAAUAUAAUUGAGACAUUGUUCAGUAUUGACGAAGAAACAAGGACAACCUAAAUAGUCAUCUCGAUUUACAAGCUCUAACUAUUAGAAAUGAGAUUCACCCAAUAGAAAGCAGGACCAAAUUUAUUUUGCUUGCAACAUGCUACUCACUCACCCCAAAUGAGAUUAAGGAAUUUUGCAAGUUUUUGAAAUCAAUAAAGGUCCCCAAUGGCUAUUCUUUCAAUAUCUCUCGUUAUGUGCAACUCAAUGAAAGGAAGAUAUAUGAGCUCAAAUUGUAUGAUUGUCAUGUCCUAAUGCAACAACUUCUCUCACUUGUAGUUCGUGGAGUUCUACAUAAGAAUGUUUGUGGAGUUAUCAUAGAAUUGCGUAAUUUUUUCAAGCAAUUGUGCUCAAAGGUGUUAGAAACAAAUCACUUACACCAACUUGAGAACAAUAUUAUUGUCAUACUAUGUAAAAUGGAGCAAAUAUUUCUUCCAUCAUUCUUUGAUAUUAUGGUGCAUUUACUUGUGCAUCUAGUAAGGCAAAGGUUGCAAGACUUGUGCAAUAUUGUUGGAUGUACCUAAUUGAACGAUAUUGUUAUAAUUUCAUAUGAAUCAUUUAAUUUUAUUUUAUAUUAUGUUCAGUUCAUUAACAUGUACAUUGGUCUACAUAUGGAUGAUGAUAGGUACCUAAGCACUUUAAAGUCAUAUGUGCGUAAUAGAACUUUUCUAGAAGGUUCUAUUGUAGAAAGGUACCUUGCAAAAGAAUGUACAACAUUUUAUUCUAGGUACUUGAAUGAUGUGGAAAUAAAGUAUAAUCACAAUGAUAGAAACUUUGUUGGUUUCAACACUAGAGGAGAUGAAAGGGGUUAUCUUUAAACAUAUUGGACAUGCAUUGGGAAAGCCCAUAUUUCAUUAACUUAGUUCAAAAGAGUGGUCACAAGCACAUUUAUAUGUGUUGACAAAUUGCGAAGAUGUCAUACCAUUCAUUGAGUAAAAAAUUUAUUUGAAUUUUAAUUAAAGCUCUAGUUUAUAUCCUUAAUCAAUGUUUUUUAAAUUCACAAGGAGCACAAGCAAACCAUCAAGGCUAGACCACAUAUACGUGUUUGAGACGUAGAUUUAAUUCAUAACAAGGAAUUUAUCAAGUGGUUUGAAAGACAUGUAAGUAUAUUCCUUAUUAUAAGGGAUUUAUUUCACAUUAUGUUUAUAUUGAAUCCAAACCUAUUAUUGAAUUGUAGGUUGAACAAUUACAUAAUGAAGGUCAUAUAUCUGAACACCUUCUCACAUUAUCAUGUGUUCCAAAUUCAUUAGUUACAUGCUUCAAAUGAUAUAUUGUCAAUGGAUUUAGAUCCCACAUUAAAGAACGUGAUAAAAAAGUUUUUAAAAAAAGACUCAGAAUAAUGGAAUUGUUGUAGUUGCAAAAACGUCAAGCUUUACAAGUGCAUGUGAUAUGAGUCCAAUUAUUAGUGAUGCUCUCUACUAUGGUGUUCUAACUAAAGUUGUUGAGUUACAUUAUCUUGGUGAAAAUAAGGUUGUUUUAUUCGAGUUUGAUUGGUGGGAUGUUACAAAUAUUGGAAAAUUGAUAAAAGAUGAUGAGUACAAUUACACAUUUGUUAACUUUGCAUGAAUUCUAACCACGAACGAACGAUUUGUACUUGCAUCUCCAGCAAAGUAAGUGUUCUAUGUGAAGAAUGCGAAUGAAUCAGAUUGGCAUACUAUCAUGGAGAUGCAACCUCAAGACCUCUAUAAGAUGAACGGGAUAGGAUCCAAUGGUGAUUUUGAACCAUUUCAACAAAGUGAACUACAUGAUCACUAAUAUAUCUCAGAUUUAGUUGAUGAAGAUAUAAUCAAGUGGAACAAAAGUGAUGUUUUAGGACUAAUCAUCCUAAAAAAUAUUGUAGUUUCUUAAAAAAAAAAUGAAAAUGAAGAAGAUAAUUGAACCUUUGUCAUACUUUAAAAAGCAACUAUGCAUUGUUCAUUUUGUAUGUUUUGGUUUUCUUCAUUUAAUUUCCUGAUUUUUGUGAUUCAAUGUCAUAUUAUUGAUCUUGAAAUAUUUUUCUAAUUUUUCAUUCUACGAUGGUUUCAACAAGGAUGACAUCAAGUCAAAAAAGGAAAUGUGGUCCCACACACAAUAUUGCAUUACAGGGAUUAAGGUCAGGGAAGAAGGUAAAAGUUGCAUUUAAUGAGUACAAUCAAUUGGUUAAACAGAAAAAUGGAAAACACUUAUCGAGCUACAUAGGGACACUUGUAUCUAACCAACACAAUGUACCUCUCCAAGCUAGUGAUUGGAAAAAUGUUCCAAAUGAUGCAAAAGAGAAAGUAUGGCCUUUGUUUUGGUAUGUUGUAUUUCUCACUAUAUGAUGUCAUUUCACUGUUAUUCUAUUUUGUGACUAACGUUUGAAUCAUAUGUAAGAAAAAUUUGAAGUAGAUAAAGACUGAAAAGAUUACAUGUUGGGUAUAGCCUCAAAUAAAUAUAGAAGCUAUAAAAAUAUGAUGAAUGCAAAAUACUAUGACCCUUGGCAUAAGGAUGCAUGAGGAGAGGUUAAUACAUAAAUCACCAUUUGUCUCUGAUGUUGAUUGGAAGUGGCUUGUCUCUGAUGCAUAAACCAAAUCCCCCACUGAAUGUUUGAUAUUUGAUAGCAGGAAAAACACACCCGCAGCUAUACACCUCCAUCAUUCAGAUAAUUAUAGUGGGGGAGAUGAUUCAUGGUUGCCCUUAUACCCUUUAUUUGCACCAUCUAUUGAGAUUCUUUAUCAUGGCCAGGUUUUACUGCAGCAAUAAGAUAUGGUGGCAACAAUUUUAUCUAUAGGUGCGGUUCCAGACCGCCUCCAUAGGUGCGGUUCCUGACUGCCUCCAUAGGUGCCUCUUCUUGUAAUGUUUGUUCUGGGAAUUACACUUGAAAGCCUUAUCGUGAUAAGGGAUUACAAACACUAGUUCAGAGGACAGCCAUGUUAAACUUCCACUAUGUUUGUGUCACAUUAUCAGCAGCCUAGUGUUUAUUGGUCAUGCUAUCUGCAACUAAUAUAACCCGGUGAACUUCAAUCUAAAUUCUGAAAGUACUCAUGUGACAGAUGGUGCCUUUCAGCAGAUAUCAUCAAUUUAAAAGUAGUGUGUGUGCCUAUAGGUGGGAAGGCCUUGGCAAAUGUUCAGUAUUCCGGUAAUUCAAGAAGGAUAUAUCUAAAAUAGAUUUUCUUCUUGCCCAUUUCAAUAGUUAAAAUUUGAGAAGAUUGUGUCCACAUCACACAAAUAUUAUUGGUCCUUCUGUUGCAAUUUACCUCUGAACAUGUCUUCCAAUUCCCACGGUCCUGUUACUCCAGGAAAACUAUUUCGGUCAUAUUGAAAAAAAAAAUAUUAAAGAAGGUACACAUGCUUUUAAGUGGACUGGGGCAUUCAUAUCAGGUGGUCUGUAUCCACAUAUGCCACUUCGUGAAAGGUGGAACAGCCUAAUCACUAGGCUAUUUAGUGUGGCCCAGCCACGUUAAUCAAGCACAAGUCUUCAUACUUAAAGUCAAAUGGUGUCUUUAGUCUCAUUACACAUCGCUAUUUGAAGAUUAACUCAUCACUAGUGUAAUGCGAUUAAGACAGUCCUAACUCAAUAUUUGUUCUAGUUUUGGAUGCAAAUGCUUGCUGGUUUCAUCAUUGGAUGGGAUAAAGGUGCAAUCAGGACUAUGAAUACGUGCAGUAAUACUUCAUUCUCUUUUUUCUCAAUGAGACUUCUUGGCACAAUUUUGCUGCUCAGCAACCUACCUUUCCAUGGAAAAUCAGUUGUGACUGAUAGUAAUGGAUAUAUUCUAGAAAGCUAAACAUAGAUAGCAUUCAAUAUUAUCGAUAUAACAUUAACAGCGUAUGUCUCAAUGCUCAUCAGCUACAAGCAAUGGACAAACACUUUGAGUAACUCACAGCAGUCAAAAUUCCUAAACAGGACAGACGUGACAGAUCUAUAUAUAGAACACUGCAUAUGAGUCACAGGAAAAGAUAAUACGGGUACAUAGAAGCUCUUAUUUUACAUAUUACUCAUACUGAUCAAAGUCGCUCAGUUGGGAUGGAUGGGAGAAGGAGGUUUGAGGGGUGGCUUGUGCGGGGAAGUUGGCAGCUUCUUUCCGGGAGCUGGUUGCUUCUUUGCUGGAGUUGAAGGAGGCUUAAUCUUCCGAGGUGGCUUGUAUGAGUCUUCAGCAUUCUCAGCAGGAGGGUGACCAGGGUUGUGACCAUAAUGUGGUGGCUUCUCUCCCUUAGGUGGUUUGCCAACUGGGGUUGGUGGCUUGUUUUCUGGGAGUGGCUUCUCUCCCUUGGGUGGUUUGCCAACUGGGGUUGGUGGCUUGUGUUCUGGGAGUGGCUUCUCCCCCUUGGGAGGUUUUUCGAAUGGGGUGGGUUUGUGUCCUGGUGGUGGCUUCUCUCCCUUGGGAGGUUUACCAAUUGGGGUCGGUGGCUUGUGUUCUGGGAGGGGCUUCUCUCCCUGGGGAGGUUUAGUGGGUGGCUUGUGUUCUGGAGGUGGCUUCUCCACCGGAGGCUUAUGCUCUGGUGGUGGCUUCUCGAAGGGGGGAUGCUCAGGGUAAUCACCAAGUGAGGGGGUGGUGAGAACCACCAUGCCAAGCAACAACACUAGCAAGUAUGUAGUAGACAUCUUUGGGUUUGGACUCAGACAGUGCAAAACUACGAGAAAUCGCUAGCCCUUUAUAGCGGCUCGGACCUAAUACUGACAUAAUAUAAAAUAAAUAUUAUAUUUUAUCAAGAGAGAACAGAGUGUAAUUUUAUCAUUAAUACCGAUCGAGGCCAAAGAAAGAAGACCCAUAAUCCAUUUCCCACAAGCAUACACAAUGCAGCUGUAAUUUUAUCAUUUACUUUUAUCCCUUGGACCACUGCAUUUUUGUUGAGAGACACAAUAACACAUUUUUAUCUGUCAUUCAACAUUUACAGUAAAGAGAGGGCACAAAACGCAAUUAGAUAAAUUAUGUUUUGCCUGCUAAAAAGAGGCAAAUAACUUUAUUUGCAACAUAAUUAUUUUGGUUUCUAGUGACCCCGGGGCCUUUCGGUUGGUUUGGGAUCGGAAAAUGAACAUCAUAGGGGGGGUUGUGCCCUUAUGGGCAUAUAUAUCUGAUAGCUUCAACUGGCCUUGUUCCUAGAAAGAAAUUGCCAAAGAUAUAAACUUAUUCCAGGCUGAAAGUAGAUGAGAGUCAUAAUGAACAUCAACCUUUGUUCAGUUUGAUUCAAUGCCCCCAUAGUGUUCAUUUCACAGAUCUGAAUGAUUAUAUCCGUUGAAUACAUAAAUUAAUGAAGACAAAUAUGAAACCCAAGAUACAUCUCUGCAUAACAACCCCAACCCUGGUUGCUAUGUUUCCCUUCUUCUAUUCACAUGAGGAUACUGGUUAUAAUUGUCAAACUUGCAACAAGCCCUUUGACACCUAACGUCAAUGGACGAAUUAAAAGUCUCCUUCAAACGUCUAUUUCACAGCAUGAAGCUUAUAAAGGAUGCUGACAACCUUCAGAGUUAGCGACAAAAGAUAAUUAUCAAGGAGAGAUAGUUCCAUGAGAAUUCCAAGGAGUCUGAAUCAAAGACAAAUUGCUCACUCAAGGGUUCUUAUUUUCUUUUAGGUACAAAUCUCUUGAGUGUUGUUAAAGAAACACGUCACUGUCAUUUUGAUUUGCAUUUAACAUUUCACUUUUGUUCUGGAAGGUUUGUUCCGGAAACAUAUCAAAUGAGCAUCAUUUUCUUCUUCGGUGACACAUGGUCGCGAGUACGUGGGUCCAUUUUCAUGCCACUUAGUUGAAAAGUUGGAAAGAAAAAACAUGCCAACAAGAAGAUAGUGAGAGAAGGGGCACUUCAAGCCUUUAACAUGAACAAACAGUAAAUAAAAGAUGUUUCUCCACUCAUAAAAGUGUGUUAGAUAGCAAUAUAACGAAUCACAUCCAAAAUCUUUACUAGGCUCAAACAUAAAGAAGACUCAUUUUUAAGAAAAGAUAAAAAUGGCAUUGUCUGAUAGUAUCCAAUACACGAGAUGGCACUUAAUUUGUACAAGAUCUGUCAAUGCUGACGCACAUUUUCUGAUUAAAAAAAAACUGAUCAGUCAAAAGCAAUGAAGAGAAGUGAUGACAAUGAAUGAUGCUUCCAAUAUUUUCACCCCUUAUAGUGUUCUUCAUGAUUCAGAUAUAUAAUUGGAAAUAGAACAACCCUAUGCCAUACAUUCGUCUAAGUAUGGUGUCUAAUUUUUUGUGUCAGCGGUUGCGAAUGGAGCGUGCAAAAGUCCAAAUUGGCGUCUCUCCAUUUCCACAUAGGAAGGUGACCUUUAUUGACAAAUACCCAAUAUUUGUAGACAUUCCUUAAAUAUCAUAACUUCUUGUUGAUUUGAAAAUCAUUUUUCAACUACCAUGUUUUAAUAAAUAUUUUUUAAAAUGUAUUUUUAUCAAAGUCCACCAUGAUGGAUAAUAUUCACCAUGCAAUAAUUAAUAAAGUACAAACUAAGCGAAAUGAAAAGCAUUUUCUUUGCUUUGAGUUGAUUUUGGUUGCAUUGAGUUGAUUUUGGUUUCAUGGUUUUUUCAACUCUUAUUUUGAUUGGAAGAUGUCAAGAAAAGAAAACAUAAAGAAAAAUUAAAAGGGAAAAAAGAAGAAAAAUAAAAAAAAAUAGAUUUAAAAGUUAAUAAAUUAUUUUUUAUAUUUAUUUUAAUUCAUUUCACUUAUUUUUCUUUUACUAUAUAAAAUUUAAAUAAUUUAAAUUUUAUAAUUAAUUUAAUUACAUUUCAUUUUCUUCUAUAUUUAAAUAUUGGAAAAAUAUUUUACUUAAUAUUUUUUUCUUUAAUUUCUUUGGCAUUUUGGGAACCAAACUUAGCCUUUAAAAUAAAAAACAAAAAAAAAAUGAAAAUAAGGAGGGAAAAGUGAGAAAAGAUAAAAACAAUAUGUAAAGGAUUUGAAAAGUAUUAGUUUGUAAUUACUAUUUGGAUUUCAAUAGUAUUUUAUUUGUCUUUCUAUAUUUCAUGUAAGAGAGAAUUUAAGAUAUUCCCCAAGGCAAAGCAUUAGUUACCUGCAAUCAGUGGUGAUAAGGCUCCAAGCCAAUUUUGGGCCCCAUAUCUUAAGACAGUACAAUUUCCAUUUCAACAUUUCUGAUUUCUCAGAUGUUUCACAUACCACAGAAGAACAUUGUUUGUGAAAAUAUGCAUUUAUGUUGGAUUUUGUAUGCUGUGGGGACUGGGGCAAGGAUCAUAUGGAAGAGUGGUUGACUUUUUCUGUACUUUAACGGUUGAAAUAGGAUAAGCACGGGCAUUUGUGAGGCUUAAUUGAUUUUGAAGCCUGAAAUUGCGUUUCUGUCAUUUUGUCAAAAAAAUGGCAGAUUCCAUACUCAUAUGUUUGGCCUGUGGCCAUGUACAGAUGCCAUUUAGUGACCAGUUUGUAACUGUCAAUCGUUGCGUUUUGACUCUGCCUCAACAACAUCUGCCAUUGACGGGUUUUCAUACUUGCAAAUCAAAUAGUCUUUCGUCCCAUCAGGAAUUUCGGUUUAAAUAUUAUUAAGCAUACGUUUGGCUGACAAUCAUUAUCCAGUUCAUGAUUUGGUUUCUUACCCUUAAUCAAUGGUUUCUAAGUGAAUAUAUGUAGAAGGAAAUCCGAAGUGUAGACAGUAGUAUCGAUAACUCUCAAUAUUCUCUAUAUAAUAGAAUAAACAGCGUCAUAGUGAUCGUCGCCUACAAGCAAGGUACAAAUACCAAAACGAGUGACUCACAUAGACAUCUCCCAACAAGAUGUAGUAGUGACUGACACAUGGACACAAUUAACUCGUAGAAAAGGAUAAGACCAUUGCACAGCAGCUCUUAUUUUACAUACUACUUAUGCUAACCAAAGUCAAUUAGUUGGGAUGGGUGGGAGAUGGAGGUUUGUGCGGUGGCUUGUGGGGCGGAGUUGAUGGCUUCUUUCCAGGAGCUUCUGGCUUUUUCAUCGGAGCUGAAGGAGGCUCAAUCUUAUGAGGCGGCUUGUAUGAGUCUUCUUUACUCUCGACAGGAGGGUGGCCAGGGUUGUGAUCAUAAUGUGGUGGCUUCUCUCCCUUAGGUGGCUUGCCAACUGGGGUUGGUGGCUUGUGUUCAGGAAGUGGUUUCUCUCCCAUGGGAGGUUUAGCAAUUGGGGUUGGUGGCUUGUGUUCUGGGAGUGGCUUCUCUCCCUUGGGAGGUUUAGUAGGUGACUUGUGUUCUGGAGGUGGCUUCUCCACCGGAGGCUUGUGCUCCGGUGGUGGCUUCUUGGUUGGAGGGGGCUUGGGGUAAUCAGCAAGAGAUGGGGUGGUGAGAACCACCAGUCCAAGGAACAACACUAGCAAGUAUGUGGGAGACAUUUUUGAGUUUGGGCUGAUCAGAUGAUGCAAAACUAAAGCAUUACGUGACCUUUUAUAGCAUGUAGCUCCCAAUACCCACUAAGUAUUGUGGGGUCCAUUUGUGCCCUACGGGGUUGAAAACUUAGACAAUUGGGCAAGGACCCACCUGACUAUGGAGGACUAGUGAGGUGUGAUCAUAGCUUUAGGAUUUUUCUUCCUCUGCAGCCGUCGUGCCGUUGGCAUGAUUUUCUUAAUCUUAAAUAAAGGCAUAGUUAUAGAGUUGUUUAAUCUCUAAAUGGGAUUUUAUAUAUAUCUUCAGAUAGCCAUUAAUAUAUUUGAUGAAGAAAGAAAGACAAGUGCAUACAACAUGUAUACGACUAGCUUUCAUGGAGUUCAUUUAUGAUCAGUUUUCCUGUACAUGUAAACCAGGAUCAUAUAUAUGUUUCUGUUCCACAACUAUUUUGGAAUCUUGUUUAUCAGUUUUUAUCAUUAUAAUGUCACAUAGGCUGCCAACUUGGGCGCUAAAAGAACCAGUUGGGCUAGUUCGUUUCAGAAUUUCAAUGUGGAUUCAGGAAUUGUUUUGUAAGAUAUGCGAAAUAGUAGAGGGAUGAAUAGUGUUUCAUUAAUAAAAGUGUCCUGUAAAUUAGAAGGUGUCAUAGAAACUAUAAUCAAUAAAUAACUUUUUUUCCCCACGGGUGGUGUUUCUUGUGGGGAUCAGUGACUGGUUUAGGUUCACCCAAAAUGAGUUCAGACUAAAAUUGGUUUGAGUCAAUGCCGUGUCUCUUUUUUCCAGAAAUCAACUAUUUUAUGCAUUGAAUAAAUCAUACAAAGAAAAUAUGAACGCCCGCAAAACCUAAACCCUGGUUGCUAACUUUCUAUGUUUCAGUUCUAUUCACGCAAGAAUAUUAGUUUAAGUUUGGGAAAAAUGGCAACUUACCUAGUGAUUACUUGGUUUUGGUUUGCGACUAUUUACGCAACCAACCAUGAGUUUGACUUUAACGUCAUGGGUUGAAGCCUCCUACAGGAAGGGAGAAAGCUCCACAGCUAGCUCCAAAAGAGAAUUAUCACAUUGAUAGCUCCAGAGAUUCCCAAGGGGACUGAAUCAAAGACAAGUUCCUCACUUUUUCUUCUUUUGAGGCCAAAUAUGAACCAAGGAUCACACAACCUCAUUCAACUUCAUAAGUUUGAUUUCAUGCAGUUGAACACUGGGUGAAGGCCAUGACAAGAAUUGAUUCAAAAAUUCUAUCACUCUUUUAAGUAAUGGAAGAUUAUUAUCUCUGAUUGGCAUCACAACAGCACAUGCUCCUAGAUCUUUCUAGACACUCCAUGCAAUGAAAGCACAAUGGAUCUUGUAACGAUAGAAACUAAGCCAUGCUACAGUACUAGAUGAUGAGGUAAAACUAGUAGACACGGGUGGCAGCCUAUAUGGGAGGGACACAAGUCUAAUUGAUUUGCAUUUCAGCAUUAUAGAUAGGUAUGUUUUGGAAGAUUUGUUCUGGAAAUACCGCACCAAGUAGGAUUCUUUUUCUCUUUAGUGGGUCCACUUGCAUGCCAAUUAACGAGUUGAAAAGUAUGAGCACCUACCUCGUGCUCGUGGAACCGAAGGUCAGUGAAGUGGGGCUCCUUUUGGCCUCGUGUAAACUUGAUUCAGAAGUGAAGUUAAUAGUCUUCCAUUCAGAUGGAUACAUGGGAAUUUUUCUCUUUUAUUUAUUUAUUUAUUUUUUUUUUGUGUGUGUAUGUCAAAGGAUAAUGAAUGAAGCGCGUUAGCUUGUUUUCUGACUGGAACCGCAGAUGUCCAAAUUGGAGUUCCUUCAUUUCUUACUUAGGAUUGUUACAUGUAUAAACAAGGUAUAAGAAAUAUGCCAACGUGUCUUGAGGAGUUAUUGAUUAGAAAUAACAAGUCACCCGACUGUAGAGUUCCAAGAUUUGAAUCUUCAGACCCUAUAGCAGCCUCUGGGGUACGUGGCAUCCUAUAGCAUAUUAAUGAAGGCUUUUUCGAUUUAGACUUCACAAUACCAAUUAAUAUGUAUGCACAAAAUGGAGAUGACCCCAAAAAAAACAGAAUCGCCAUAGUUUAUGAGGUUAAGGUGAUUCUCCACUUAAUAUCUACAUUAGCUAAUUAUGUAAAUCAAAUGAACUUCUAUUUUUCCUUUUUUUUUUUGGUUUAUGUCAAAUAGUAGCCCAUAAUUAACCCAACCAUUAGCCUGUUUGAAUUGAUUUCACAUGCACAAUGUUGUAGUAGUUCAUAUUUUGAAUUUUAUUUUUACAAAGGUAGUUAAGGAAAAUGAAGUAUAAUAAUUAUAAAAGCAGACUAUAUACACUACAAUAAUUGUUAGAAUGGUAUCUCAAAUUCUAAUUUAAAAUAUUAUUUUUUGUAAAAGAAAUAUUAUAUAGAAUAUUUCCUAAUUUUAUAAAUGAUUAUAAUUAGAUCUUUAUAAAAUAAGGAAAGUUGGUAAGAAUAUCUUUAUAAAUAUUUUAGGUCAUGAGAGAAAGAAAUGGGAUAAAAAUGUGAUGAAGAGGUGAAAUAAGAGAGUUGAUUAGGAUAUAGAUGUGAAGAAGAAAGGGAUUCAAUAUAUAUAUAUCUUUCAAUUACCACAUUAAAACCCUGUGAACCUUUUAUAUGGUUUACUUUAUUUUUAUAUUCCUCCUUUAAUAUAUUUACAUUAAUGCUUCCAUUGGCACAACAAUAACGAAUUACAAAUACAAGCAACAAGUCCCAUGUUUUAUUACCAAAAGCAGGUAAAAUCCACCUAAUAUAUUACAAUAUAUUCAUCCAAUAUUUUAGACCAAUUCUUCACCAUAAAUAUCAUAAUGUGGCUUUUGUUCUUUCUUAAAUUUAAAUUGAAUUGUCUUAUAUCAAUUUGUUUGUGAUUUUUUCAUUAACUUCACUUUCAUUUGGUUAUCUUUGGUUUUUGAAAAGUAUUAAGGAAUUAAUUAACAAAAUAAUGUUAAGAAAAAUAAUUUUCUCUCUUUUGAUUUUGAUUUUGUAGUAGAAAAAUAUAAUUAAAAUUAUUUAAAAAGUAUGUAAUUUUAAAUUAUUUAAUAUUUAGAUAAAAAAAAUAAGUCUAAUGAGUUUAAAAUAACAUAUAAAAAUAAUUUAUUUAUUUUAAAUUUAUUUUUUAUUUUCCAUUAUGUUCUCUUUCUCUUUUACUUUUUCAUAUUUUUUCUUACGAAGAAUCAAACACAACCUCAUAUUAUAUGUCAAGUGUUUGUCUAUAUUUGAGCAAUGUUAGAUACGGCCAUGGAUUCAUCAAACUAAACUGAUUUUAAUAGAUACUUCACAAAUUGAUUUAUACACUAAAUCAUUGGAUAGCAAUGAUGCAUUGGAAUUAAACGUAGGAUGAAGCUCGAAGAACACUGUUUGUGUAACAACAUAUUUAUGAAAUUAUGCAAAGGAUGAGCUUCGGGGUAGUAGUACAAGGUCAUUAAUGGAGAGCCGUGUUAAACCUUGAUUGUGAUUGGAUUCCGUUAUCAGCAACAGCAACCUUGUUUGUAACCUUGAAAGUCAUUCUGUCCACAUCGAAACUCCAAUUUGACGUUUGUAAUUACCAUUCCUGGAGUGUUCCUUGAUUGAAAUUUAAAUAAUAAUUGCGGCCCACAAGGAAUAUUUUCGAUUCUGUGGGAAUUUGACAAGGUUUGUUAGAGAAGACUGGUGACAUGUUGACUUCAAUGGUUCAAAUAGGAGACGUAUGUGGAUUUGGGGGGUUUAAUUGAAACUGAGUCCCUAUGGCUUUUUAAUAUUUGCAUUGAGCAGUCUCCAUGUGACUUCCUAAUUCCCACCAACCCUCCUGUCCAUGCUGUGAAACUAAAUUGUAAUUUAUCAGCCUUUGUCAAUGGUUUCUAAAUUAAAGAUAUAGACCAUGCAUGUACUUUAAUAAAAGCAAAUCUAAAGUGUAGAUAGCAGCAAUGGUGACACCCAAUAUUCUCCAUAAAAUAGAAUUAGAAUAAGCAGUGUUACAUUGUUCAUGAUCACCUACAAGCAUACAAGAACUUCCAUGAAUAACUCAUAGCAAUUGCCAACAGGGCGUCGUAGAGACUCAUACAUAGAACACUAUCCACCCAGAGGAAAGGACAAGACCAGUGCGCUGCAGCUCUUAUUUUUCACAUGUAUACCACCACUCGUAAUAACCAAAUUCACUCAGUUGGGAUAGGUGGGAGAUGGUGGUUUGUGGGGUGGCUUGUGGGGAGGAGUUGGAGGAGGCUUUAUUUUCUGAGGCGGCUUGUAUGAGUGUGCAGGAGGAUGCCCGGGAGUGUGACCAUAAUGUGGUGGCUUCUCUCCCGUAGGUGGUUUGCCAAAUGGGCUUGGUGGCUUCUCUCCCUUAGGAGGUUUACCAAUUGGGGUUGGUGGCUUGUGUUCUGGGAGUGGUUUCUCUCCCUUGGUAGGUUUGCCAAUUGGGGUUGGCGGCUUAUGUUCUGGGAGUGGCUUCUCUCCCUUGGGAGGUUUGCUAAUUGGGGUUGGCGGCUUAUGUUCUGGGGGCGGCUUCUCUCCCUUGGGAGGUUUGCCAAUUGGAGUUGGCGGCUUAUGUUCUGGGAGUGGCUUUUCUCCCUUGGGAGGCUUGCCAAUUGGGGUUGGCGGCUUAUGUUCUGGGGGUGGCUUCUCUCCUUUAGGAGGUUUGCCAAUUGGAGUCGGCGGCUUAUGUUCUGGAAGUGGCUUUUUUCCCUUGGGAGGUUUGCCAAUUGGGGUUGGCGGCUUAUGUUCUGGGGGUGGCUUCUCUCCCUUGGGAGGUUUGCCAAUUGGAGUCGGCGGCUUAUGUUCUGGGAGUGGCUUCUCUCCCUUGGGAGGUUUUGUUGGUGGCUUGUGUUCUGGAGAUGGCUUCUCCCCUGGAGGCUUGUGCUCCGGAGGUGGCUUCUGAAAUGGCGGGGGCUUGGGGUAAUGAGCAAGAGAUGGAGUACUG